rnacentral:lncRNA from 1 species
UGACUAUAUUAUAUCUGGCACGCUUUAUGUAUCCGAACAUUCAUGCCAACGGUUCCUCUUGGAUGUUUGAUUCCCCAUUUCCUUUUUUUGCUUGUGUCCCAAGUGGUGGUUUUGGUUGUGCAACCGGGUCUGGCAGUGGACCUGGCAGUGGUUGUGGAUUUGGGUUUGGCAAUGGUUGUGGGUUUGGAUCAGGUUGCGGUCCUAGUAAUGGCUGAUGGUCUGGGUUUGGCUGUGGGUCCGACAAUGGCUUCGAGUUUGGGUCUGGUAAUGGUUGUGGGUUUGGAUCAGGCUGUGGUCUUGGUAAUGGUUGAGGAUUUGGGUUUGGCUGUGGGUUCGGCAAUGAUUUUGGGUUUGGGUCUGGUACUGGCUAUGGGUUUCAAUCAAGCUGCGAUCCUGGUAAUGGCUAAGGGUUUGGGUUUGGCUGUGGGUCUGGCAAUGAUUUCGGGUUUGGGUCUGGUAAUGGUUGUGGAAUGGUUGUGGAUUUGGAUCAGGCUGCGGUCCUGGUAAUGGUUGAGGGUUUGGGUUGGCCGUGGGUUUUGGCCUGGCAAUUGUUGUGGAUUUGGGUCGGGAUGUGGUCCUGGUAAUGGUCGUGCGUUUGGAUCAGGUUGUGGCCCUGGCAGUGGUUGUGGGUUAGGUUUAGGCUCGGGUAGUGGUUGUGGGUUUGGGUCAGGUUGUGGUCCCGGUAGUGGUUGUGGAUCUAGUAAUGGUUGAGGGUUUGCAUUUGGCUGCUUUCUUGGUAGUGGUUCUGGAUUUGGAUUAACCUGUGGGUCAUACUAAGGGUCUCUACUGAUCAGGUUGUGCCUCCCUGCAGCAAGAGAAAACGCUGGAAGAAGCAUAAGCAACAGCGGUGCUACGAGAAGGGAGGACAAGCAGGGGCGCUUCCUCAUCGUCAUGGCUAAUCUUGUGUUGCUACGUACUUGAAAGUGCGUACGCCUCGAUCGUCCUAUUUAUAAGCGAAUUCAGCCAAUCAAUACUGGAUAAGCAUGUACGUGUUUUCUCCAACUCUGAUUGGGCUUGUUAGCUUUGCCUUUUUGAAGACGCGGGACUGCACGCCUCUGCUUAGGGCAUCUCCAACAGUUUGUAUGUUAACUUGUUGGUAAAGUAUGCCAUGUCAUCAACCAACACCUUAACAUACAACAUCUCCAAUGGGUUGUAUCUAGUUUGCCCAAUAGGAUGUGAGAUAAUAAAUAAGGUGCUCUCUCAUUCUACAUUGGAGCUUGUGCAAGGGGUGUUGGUUCAUGUACAUACAAGCUUCCUCUCUUUCCUCAUUUAUUCCAUGACACAUCAUCAGAAAUUCUAUGUGGCAAAGUCUACCAACAACUAUCUUACAACCAUUGAAGAUGCCCUUAGUGCUCCAACCGGCAGCCAACCACAAUAAAAAAUCAUUUGGAAAAGUGAGAGUAGUUUUCUUCCGGAUAGAUGUGGCAUUUUUCAGUUGACCGUACGAGAGCAACAUGCAAAAGCAUACAGUCACCCAAGUUGUGAACAACCUGAUCACUUUUAAUAAUUAUGUUGAACCGACAAUGGUUGUGAGUAUGGAAUCUGUAAAUAGUGCGAAAAAUACUAUUUUUUAAAAAAUAAGAAAAAUCACGUAUAAACAUAUGUUAUUUACAUAUCUAAAAAGUUUAAUUCGGUAAUAUGAUGAUUUGCAGGCUAAAGAAAAUUCCAGCCCAAAUGUAGCAAAAAUAAGCCUAUUUUUAAACUAUGUAUUUUUCCCUAUGUGUAAAAAACUUUCUAAGGAUUAGAUUCCUCCGAAAAAUUCCAUUACGGAUCCUUUGAAUCAAAAGUUGUACUUCCUUGAGGAUCAUUGUGUUCUACUAGGGAUGAUUGUGACCGAGAUUUAUAAUAAUAAUGUUAAAGAAAGGUGUAUCUAGCAUGGAUAUAAUGUACCUUUAACCGUGCGGUUUCUAAUCUUCUAUAUCUAAAUAGCUAGCCCCCACUAGCCUAUUUCUCCCAACAUGCAAGUAUGCCACCUCAUCAUUCAACAUGCAAGAAGAAAGGUCCACCACAAAAUGCAAUCAUGCAUAAUAAAAAGCCACUUUGACAUGCAAACAUGCAUGAGAAUUUACAUUCUAUUAGGAUAUUUACAUUAUACAAUAAUCAAACACCACAAAUCAUACUUAUUUUUAGCUUUAGUUCUCAUGUUAUAACUCUAAAAAUUCAUGUUUCAUACAACCAAUUCUAACUGAAUGUAUUGCAAACAUUCCCGCAACAACGUGCGGGGUAUCAUCUAGUAAUUUUAAUGUGGCAUGCACGCAGUGCACAGUGCACUCAUUUCCGAUAUGCCUCUAACUUUCACAUAUCAUACACGAGAUCAAUGCUUGCAAUGUUCUAGAAUAAAGUAUAUACAUACUUACACGAAUCGCGAUCAAAUAUAUUUGUUGAAAUUUUGUGGAAGUAUAUAUUUUUCCUUUGUAUAGACUUUAUAAGAAAAAUAUAUUCUUCAAGUAUAUUUUGUUGAAAUUUUGUAUUAACAUACCAUCCCUUUUCAAAAAAAUCUAGUGCAAGUGAGUCCUAUAAUUUUUUUCUAUGAAUUGCUAUUCUGUGACUCAAAACGGCGCAUACAGGAAAAUUUUCUAAGGAUUAAUUAUAUUCCUCCAAAAUUCAUUUAAAACCUCUAUUGGACAGUGAUGCACUUUAAGUACGCGGUUUCUAAUCAUUACGCCUAGUGCACAGUGCACUCAUUUCGGUUGUAGCUGUAACUUUCACAUUUCAUACACCAAUCACGAUCAGUUGCUUGUUGGUGUACAUCCAAUGCUCUAGAAUAAAACAAAACGUACUCCUAUAUACAAAUGCAUGCUUGUAUCUAGUUGGGCAGUAGCAUGACUUUACCUAACCUACCGAUUGAAUCAUAUGUAUAGUUGAAAAAGAAAGGACAUCCGUAGAGUACCAAGCUACCUACCGAUUGAACCGUAUGUAAGAUGAAAAAGAAAAGACAUCCAUAGAGUACCAAGUUACCUACCGAUUGAAUCGUAUGUAUAGAUGAAAAAGAAAUGACAUCCUUAGAGUACCAAGUUACGUACCGAUUGAAUCGUAUGUAUAGAAGAAAAAGAAAAGACAUCCAUAGAGUAACAAGUUACCUACCGAUUGAAUCGUAUGUAUAGAUGAAAAAGAAAAGACAUCCAUAGAGUACCAACUUACCUACCAAUUGAAUUGUAUGUAUAGAUGAAAAACAAAAGACAUCCAUAGAGUACGAAGUUGAAGACGAUAUGACCUCAUAACUAGAUUGGGUUGGGUGGGUGGAGUGCCACUUUAAUCCUUGUCUGCAGCACGCGUGAUGAUAUUUCUUCAGAGGCACUGAAGUGGGGAACAAGACUGAUAGAACAAAUAGCAAGUGAGAAUUUUAGAGCUUCACAAGUUUUGAGGCCUGGCGUGCUGAGAACUUAUCAAGGUGUUCUUCAGGUUGCAGCACUGCUGCCAAGGCAUUUCUCCAGCUUUGCUUGGAAGAUCUUUUGCUUUGCUUUGUUUCUCUGUUGGUUUGUAAUGAAGUUCCCGUGUUUUGUGAUGGUUGCAAGUUCCCUGUAGUUCUUAUAUAUUUGGCUCAAGUGUGCUUGAAAAUGUCCUAGUUAUGUUUUAAAAAAAUGUCGUAGUUUUUUGAGCAGCUGUCAACAUAUAUAGUUACACGUAGACAAGCGCACACACACGUAGACACGCAGCUCAUCUCUCGUCUCUCGCCUCUCGCGUCGCCCCCCUCGCGGGUGACAUGGGGGGAGCCAACCUCCCCCGCCAGCGACCCUCCCUGCGCCCGUCCUCCCCUCCGCCGCCGCUGGUAGUCGGCGCCGGGCUAAGCCUAUGCGUGCGACGCGAUGGCGGAGGGCCUCUCCCCUCUCCCCCGGAUCCAUGGGUGGCGCGGGCGCCCAGAUUCGCGGAGGUGCAGCCCCCACUUCAGCCCACAGCGGUGUGGCGUCCCAGCGGCGGCGCCUGUAGUGGUGCCGGUCAGAAUCGGCCGGAUGCACAGGGAGCGGCGGUGGCCGGGGCGGCGACCCCAUGGCUGGGUGGCGGUGUGCCCGUUGGUCUGACCGGUUCCGACUCGUCCCGGAUCUGGUGACUACCGGACGGCGCGACGGGUGCGGUGUUCCAGCGUGGCGGCGAUCUAGACGCGGUGGUGCCGGCGGCUCUUCGCUGGUCUGCCGGAGAUCCAGGAGUAUCAUCGUCUCCGACUCGAUCUUCUCCAGUUCGUGCUAGAUCCGGUCCAGGAGACUAUCGUCAUCUCCCGGUGCUGGCUGCAUGGAUCUGACGGUGGCGGCUGGAUCCUUUUGGUCUAGUCUCCAAUAGAGAAGGCGGCGAUCCGUGCACAAUAAGUUGGAUGGAGUUCUUCGAACAGAUUUGGGAGAAAACCUGCUGUUGGCUAGAUGCCAAAGCUGGCGACCGCGUCGCUCUACAGUGUCGUUCCCUUCUUGAAGGCAUCACCGUGGAAAAGUUCGAGACCACUAUCUGCUACCUCUGGGGGAAACCUUAGAUCGGCAGAUCAGAAGACGGCGGCGCACUUCUGUCAUUUCCCCCUUGGGGGCGUCAUUCUUGGAGGUGUACAUGGGCUCGAGGGACCAGUGGACGACGUCUUCGGCGGAGCGGUGCUUCAACAUGCACAUUGAUGGUGACAUAUCUCGAUGGCAUGGCGCCCUGGAGAUUAGGCGUCUGAUGUGCGAUGAUGGACUCGCGCAGGAGGGUAACGCUGUCUGGCGUCGUGGAGGCGUCGACGUCAGCUAGACCGGGCAAGGUAGAUGCAUCAGUACAGCUCUGAAGAUGGAUUGGUGACAGAUGGCGGCGGUGGCCUCUGAGUGUGCGCCGGACCGGUGGGUGCAUCCUGAAAUUUUGCAGUACACCAUGACCAUCUUUUCAAUAUACACCGAAACUUGUUUAGUAUAUGAUGAACAUUUUGUAAUAUACAUCAACCAUUUUUGAAAAUUCAUGUUAUUUUUUAAAACUAUAGUAAACAUUUCUUUAAAUAGGCGCUGAACAUUUUGAAAUACACGUUCUUUUUGUGCUUUCAUGAAAAGACAUAACCAAAAAACUGAAGCACGAAUAAACCAAAAAUUUUGCUACUGGACCGCCAUCGCUACAGAAACAGGUUUGUACGUCUUACUGGGCCGGUCCACUCGGAUCACCUGUGUGUAGCCUAAACUAAAGCGUCAAAUGGGAGGUCUCGCUUCUAAGUCCAUCAAGAAUAUUAACAUUGACCUGCAAAAAUAAUAAUAUUAACAUUGCUUUAUUAAGAAAAAGGAAUAUUAACUGUGGUAGCAGGACCGACACCUUGAUCUUAUGUGUAAAAUGACCAUUCUUUGAAGGCUGCUCCAUCAUGUUAUUUUUUGUGUGCAGGCGGCUCCCUUAACCGUAGCUCGGCCACUGCUUAUGAGACAUAGUUCUAUAAGAGAACAUUGACAGCGCGUGCAUGCAAUGACUUUGUAUCUUCUGUCUUUUUUAUACUAUAUACAAAAAAGUCCAGAUAUAUACUAUGUCAUCACGAGGAGAUUCCACUUAAAAAAAGAAUAAUCAAAAAGGCUGUUUUCCUCUCGUGGAAAGAUUGAUUCCAGUAUGCGAGCAUUCUCUUGGUACUCAUUCCUUCAUGCAGAUGAGAAGCCGAUCUUCUCUCGGUGCCUUGUCGACUGAAUUUAUACAUGUACAAGGAUGACGUGAAGGUUGAAUUCACAUCACCCAUGCAUUGUGAUUGCCUUAGUCCUCUCCCAAGAUAUACCGCUUCAUUCCUGCCUUUCGAAGCUUUUUCGGACCCCUUUCUUAGGUUGCACUACCCAGUCAUUGUCGUAUUGGCUAGACGGGUUCAUCCAACAUGAAAGAAAAGGAAGAAAAUCAUCUAGUAAGCAUCAAGCAUUGAAUAAGUUGCAGUGCUGGUGAGCGUGCGACAUCAUUCAAGCAUUCUACAGAGCUACAUUGACCCGGCGGAAUUAUAUUGCACCCAAUCUCUUGAAGAAAUAUCUUAUCAAUUAAAAAGACGAAUGUUGAAACAUAAAAGUAUUCAUGUUUUUGGCACUGAACAGACAAUCCAUGGUCAUAAAAUCAUAAUAUCCCCCACUUUUACUCAUGAAAACCGUGCUUGUAUCCCUCGUCAUCAACUCAUUACGUUGUAACUGUAUUCCGAUAAUGAUCUACUUUGGCACUGGUAUUCAGUUACAUGUACAUGCACAUUGCAUUGCCCGUAUUUUAUGCCAGAAGAGAAUUGGACGCGAUUUAUUUGCACCCAACGGGCCCUUGCCGCCGCUUGGCCGACGACAACUAGGAGAAACUGCUCAAGUGAGGUUGCUUCCAUGGUGUUAACCGCCCUAUUGAUUCUGCCAGAGAGCCAUGCCAUUGAGUCAGAGUAUUUGUGCGUGAUCGAGGGCUCGGUUUCAAAGUACACCGACAUAUACCACACUUAGGAGCUAGCUAGUACUUCAUGUAUGGACCCCUACGUGUCGAGCGCAAGCAAUUAACAGCAAUUUUAUUUGUGGUUUUCAACAAAACUUCUAACUAAAGAUUAAUCUAUUCCUAACUCAAUUUAUUUGUUGUAUGUUCGGUCUAUUAGGGAAAUAUUUUACAACCUAAUCACAUUCUUACAAUGUAUAUAACUAUUAACGAGGUUCAUUUACAAUGCAUGGCCGGUUGCUUAGUUCUAUUUUCUGACUCGCCCCAGUGUGCAAUUCCUUGAACCGCCACUGUGUGCACCUCAAUGGAGUACCCUACCCUGCUCUACCAACUUCAUUGCCGCUGCUUUGGGUUCGUUGCAUUGCAUCCAUAUAAACAAGCAUUUCCAUUCGGUUCAACUCAAUUCGUCAAUUCCAUCGAUACAUAUAAAUAUAAAAAAUGACCCAUGGCAUACAACGGGACUUGCUUCCUUCUUGAUCGGAUUAUCAAAUAUCGGAGGGGCGGCUUCCUGUGUGAUGGUGGUAUGUGAUCACUGGGAUUUUGUUGGCCGAAACAAACUCAGCAAUCGGAGACGCUCUGAACUCGCCAUCUGCAAGACACACAUUACAUUAUUAAUUAUCCAAUUUUAAGUCAAACCCCAACUCAGUACAUAGAAAUGGAAAAAGCAAAGGGGUUGCUGCUGAAAGGUAAAGCAAGUUAGAGAAGAUACCAUAUACGGUCAACUUGACCUCCUCCUGUUUCUUGAGCAUGACUAGUGAGGGGCGCUUUGCUUUCGGGUCAACGUGGAACAGCUUGGCUACAUCAGGACUGGUAGUCUGGUAGAAGUUGAUAGCCCGGUACAAGCUGCUGUUAUCUUCCAGCGUUGAGGCAGCAGCAAGCUCAUCACUGUGAGCACCCUAUAUAUAUCAUUUGUUGAUUGAGUAAUCAAUGAUUUAAACUCGAUUGACUGUAUUAUAUAUAUGUUUGUUGAUAAGAGUAAUCAGUUUUGGUUAACACAUGGUUGCUGUUGGUAGACUUUACAGGGAUUGGAACAUACCGAGAGGGAGUCGAGGAAGGCGAGCACAGCCACGCUGUGGCCGGUGAUGAUCUUCUCGGCUUCGUAGAUGGUGCUGACGUUCUGCACCUCAGGGACCAGCCUCUGGGAUACCCAAACGACCAUGGCGUCCCUGCAGCAAUGGAAAAAUCACAACAAUGAAGCUACAGCAGCAGACAGCGAGUGGAAUGAAGAAGUAUUUUCUCUCCUACUCACUUAGAGCAUCACUACCCGAUCCCUUAAAAUUCUAUAGAGAAGUAGUAAAAUUUUAGUUUUACUCUUCUAAACCACACCUAGCCGAAGUCCUAAAUCGGUUAGAGUAGUAAAAAAAUUACUCCACCGAAAUUUUGUCCCACGGCGCCUAAAUAUACUUAUCCCCCGCCCGGCCAAGUAAAAUCCCCCCAUCCCACCCGUUUCUUCCUCCGCCUGGCGCGAUACUUUCCGCUGCUGGAUCCCCACACGCCACCAUGACCGCCCAUGACCGUUGCCACGGCCAGAAUGGGUUCUCAAGACCCUUCCACGACCCCACCGGCGCAUCGCCGCCGCCCGCACCGAUUAGGCAUAGAAAAUCCCGUCCGGUCUACCACACCGGCUGCCCCUGCUGGUACCAAAGUCAGCGGGGUGGCCACUGCCUGUCCAGCAUCGGUCGGCUACCCUUCGUCUACUCCUGGCGGUGCCAAACAUGCUAGGAAGCUGACGGUGGCAGCGACGGCCCUUGCCGAAGCGGCGGCGAUGCAUAAGAAGAAACAAAAAACCUUCGGCUCCUCGCGUCCUUUAUUUUACUCCACUAACUUUACUCAGUGGUUUACUCCUCUAUUUUUGAAGGAUCGGCUAGAGAUGCUCUUACUUGGUCCUCUCGCCGUAGUAGGGGUAGUGCUUGGGCAUGCCAUCCACGAAGAAGAGGACGGUGGGGUAUCCCUCGACGCCGUGAGCGCGCGCGAGCUGACGUUCCUGGGUGGCGUCGACCUUGGCGAGUGCGACAUCGAGCCCCUUGUCGGCCAGGUGCGACGCGGUCGCGGCAUACUCGGGCGCGAGUUUGCGGGACCAGUAACACCAGGGUGCAUAGAAGUCGACCACGACAUGGCGGCGGACGGCGAAGAUGGAGGAGAAGUUGGCGGCGGUGAGGACGACCACGUGGGCCUCGAUGUCGUUGACCACCUUGGGCAGGAUGAGGUCUGGGUGGGAGACAGAGGCGGAGGAGGGGUGGGAGAGGAGGAUGAAGAUGGGGCUGGCGAGGAGGAGGAGGAGGAUGAGAGAUCGGGGCGUGGGCAUCGGCAUCACCGCCAUGGCCGUCCGGCGAGGAGUGGGAUAGAGUGCGUACGUGUUGGGAAGUGGAGUGGAUGCAAUAGAGAGAUCAGCGGAGACUUUGAAUCGAGUUCUACGGACAUCGGCAUCACCGCCGGCCGGCCUCGGCUGCACAAGUGAUUGAGACAUGCAGAACUCGAUUGUAUUGAGCGCUCGGUGCGGACGCGUGAGGACAAAUGAGAAAUGACUCCAUAUGCUACUGGGCCCAAGUAAUACCAAGCGAUGAAUGAAAACUAUGUUAUCCUCCUCUCAAUGACUCAAUCAACUUUGGAACUUUUUUUUCCUCACCUACGCAUAGCUUUGAUCUAAUAUGACUUUGCUAGUUGUCGGCGUGUUUAUGUGUGAGUUGAUAUUGGCUGUGUACAUCCUAACUUGCAGAGACCGGGUGUGUGCUCAUUGUGUUUUGUAUCCUUUGAUGCGUCAUCAUGAUUCAUGAGUCAAUAAAAUCCACCCUUUGUCGAAAAAAUGACUCAAUCAACAAAAAGUAAUCUAGGUUAUCCUAAUUGCUCAAGGUAAAAAGCUAAGGCUAUCCUCGAAAGGAAAAAAAAAAGGAAGUUAUCCUCCUCGAAAGAAAAAGAAAACUAUGUUAUAUAUAUAUCCUCCUCUCAAUCAACAAAAAUCACCUCUGAUCAAGCAAGCUGACUUUGACUGUGGCAUGGGUGACAUGUCAAGUUCCCUCCGAACGAUACACGAGAACCGUCUCGGCCAUUGCCAAACAAUCGGCCACAAACGUCAACAACUUGGCAGCUCGGGUUUUGCUGAUGAACUUCACUCGAGAAAAUUGCAAGCCUCCAACCGACCUAGCUAGUCGAGUGCAACCUCUGGAGAGCACCGUCCACUGAAACCACUUUCAUGGAGUCAUCGUUGUCGCAGCCCCCCUCCCCUCCGUACGCAGCUCCACCUUCUUUGUUGAAACAAGCAUAGGCGUACCCAUUGGCGCACCCAACUGUCAACUUCAGAAGGGCCAGGCACGACCUAGCUCCACUCGCCACCAUCGUCGUCGCCACCGAGUCCCAACACCGACCACUCGCAUCGUCGGCUGGGCACCAUCCAACCGUGAUAAUAUGCUCAUCCAACCCAGGAAAAGUGCGGAGGGGAAUAAAUCUUCAAGACGGCGCCCUAAGUGGGGAGCGAUGCAGAAACGACAAUGUUGCCCGACCCCACAACAGGGGCCUUAAGCUUUCACUCAAAGACAUCCCGAGGGUGGGCAAGAUCGAAGAGCUGCACGACGAUCCUCCAAGAAGGAAUAAGGACACCAGCAACCGCCACGUCAUCGUUGAUGGCAUAAUCAAGGCAAGCCUUUGCCCCGUAGCAACAAGCGUGCAAACCCCCACUAGACCAAAUACUGCCUUACCUAUAGAGAAAACAAUUCUUUUUUGGGCAAGAUAAGCCCAAAGUAAUCUGUGCGAAUAUUCUCCGUAAACUAAAAAAUCUAAGUGUAAUAUAUGUAGCUAAUAACCAUUUGACCCAAACUAGAAGCCUAGCCACUUUAUACCUCAAACUUUCAUUUUAUGAAAUGUUUCCCUUCACGUUACAAAUUUGCGCCAUGAUUUGUUCACUCUUAAGUUUAAACUUGCGCUAGGAUUUACCCUGUAAAUAAGUUUCCACCUUUCUUACUAGCACAAACUUGAAGCUUGUGGUAAAUCCUUUCCACACAAUUCAUGUAAAAAAAUGAUAAAACUAAAGGUACAAAGUAGAAAUUUUAAUAUAUAUCAUCACACAAAUCAUAGUACAACCAGCACACACAUACAAAGCUAGAAAAGUAAGUCAGGACAAUCACAAGAUUUACAUGGGCAUCAUACCCUAAUCUUGAUUGAUCUUGACAUUAUAUAGCAUGGAAUGACUUGAUGGUGGUGGGUACAACACGCCACUUAUUUCAUCCAGCUGGCAUUAUAAGUCAUGAGUGUACUAUAUCUGGCGCGGUCGUAGUACACGAACAUCUCAUCCUAGCGGCUCCUCUAGGAUGUUUGCUCCACAUUUUCCUUUUCUGCUUGUGUCCCAAGUGGUGGUUUUGGCUGUGCAUUCGGGUCCGGCUGUGGGCCUGGCAGUGGUUGUGGGUUUGGGUUUGGUAAUGGUUGUGGGUUUGGAUCAGGCUGCGGUCCUGGUAAUGGCCGAGGGUUUGGGUUUGGCUGUGGGUCUGGCAAUGGUUUCGGGUUUGGAUCAGGCUGCGGUCCUGGUAAUGGUUGAGGGUUUGAGUUNNNNNNNNNNNNNNNNNNNNNNNNNNNNNNNNNNNNNNNNNNNNNNNNNNNNNNNNNNNNNNNNNNNNNNNNNNNNNNNNNNNNNNNNNNNNNNNNNNNNNNNNNNNNNNNNNNNNNNNNNNNNNNNNNNNNNNNNNNNNNNNNNNNNNNNNNNNNNNNNNNNNNNNNNNNNNNNNNNNNNNNNNNNNNNNNNNNNNNNNNNNNNNNNNNNNNNNNNNNNNNNNNNNNNNNNNNNNNNNNNNNNNNNNNNNNNNNNNNNNNNNNNNNNNNNNNNNNNNNNNNNNNNNNNNNNNNNNNNNNNNNNNGUAAUGGCUGAGGGUUUGGGUUUGGUUGUUGGUUCGGCAAUGGUUUCGGGUUUGGGUCUGGUAAUGGUUGUGGAUUGGGAUCGGGCUGUGAUCCUGCUAAUGGAUGAGGGUAUUCAUUUGACCGUGGGUCUGGUCGUGGCUGCCGGUUCAGGCUUGACUGUGGGCCGAUGAACGGUUGUGGGAUUCGACCUGACAAUGGUUGUGGAUUUGGGUCAGGAUGCGGUCCUGGUAAUGGUUGAGCGUUUGGAUCAGGUCGUGGCUCUGGCAGUGGUUGUGGAUUUGGGUCAGGAUGCGGUCCUGGUAAUGGUUGAGCGUUUGGAUCAGGUUGUGGCUCUGGCAGUGGUUUUGGGUCAGGUUUAGGCUCGGGUAGUGGUUGCGGGUUUGGGUCCGGUCGUGGUCCGGGCAGUGGUUGUGGGUUUGGUAAUGGUUGAGGGUUUGGAUCUGGUUGUUUUCCUGGUAGUGGUUCUGGAUUUGGGUUCGCGUAUGGGUCGUAUCGGGGGUCUCUAGUGAUCAGGUUGUGCCUCCCUGCAGCAAGAGCAAACAAUGGAAGAAGCAUAAGCAGCAGCGCUGCUACGAGAAGGGAGGACAAGGAGGGGCGCUUCCUCAUCGUCAUGGCUAAGCUUGUGUUGCUACAUACUUGCAAGUGCAUGCGCCUUGAUCUUCCUAUUUAUAAGCGAAUUCAACCAAUCAAAACUAGACAAGCAUGUACGCUAUUUAUUCCAACUCUGACUAGGCUUGUUAGCUUUGCCUUUUGGAGACGCGGGACUGCACGCCUCCGCUUAGUGCUCCAACUGGCAGCCAACCAUAUGAAAAAGUAGUUUAGAAAAGUUGGAGUAGUUUUCGUCCAGAUAGAUGUGGCACUUUUCAGUUGAUCGUAGGAGAGCAGCAUGCAGAAGCAUACAAUCGCCCAAGUUGUGAACAACCUUAUCACUUUCAGUAAUUCCGUUGAACCGAUAGCAGGGUAGCAGAUGGGCUGUGAGCAUGGAAUUUGUAUCUCAUUUUUCUUACUCUUCCCCUUUCCCCGAACUAAAUCGCUCUAAGCGAAUUACCAUUAAUUCGUAUUUUCCCAUCAACUAGCUAAAAUUGAUUAACCCUAGGAUUAGGAUCCUUUUCUCUUUUUUUCCUCUAUGUGCGAAAAAAUACCACUUUUAAAAAAUACGAAAAAUCAUGUAAAAACAUAUACAUGUUAUCUGCGUAUCCAAGAAGUUUAAUUAAGCCAUACAAUGAUUUGUAGGCUACACAGAAAAUAAUAUUCCAGUCCAAAUGCGAUAGAAAUAAGCCUAUUUUGAAUUAUGUAUUUGUCGUUUUUCCCUUUGUGUAAACUACAUAUGAAAAUUUAUUUUCCGAUUAUAUUUUGUUAAAAUUUGGUAUGAACACACUACACCUUUUUCAUAGAAAAUUUUGAGGUGUAAGAAUAAAGUUCUUGAUAAAAAAAGCCCGUAGGAUGUUUUGCUGUACAACGGAAAGUCAUAUGAUUCUAAACAAGAGGUUUGCGUGGAUGAUUUUUUAUUUACGGAUCAAUCCAGUGCAAAUGAGUCCUAUGAUUUGUUUUUCUAUGAAUUGCUAUUCUGACUCAGUACAGGAAAAUUUUCUAAGGAUUAAACUCCUCCAGAAUUUCAUUAUAACCCCUUUGAAUCAAAGAAGCCUAGCACCGAAGCUUUUUUGACAAUAUCGGAAAGCGACAGGGGUGCACCUUUAAGUACGCGGUUUCUAAUAAUCACGAUCAGUGCACGCCGUGCACAGUGCACUCAUUUCGGUUGUAGCUGUAACUUUCACAUUUCAUACACCAAUCACGAUCAGUUGCUUGUUGGUAUACAUCCAAUGCUCUAGAAGAAUAAAAGACCAGUCCUAUAUACAUAUGCAUGCUUGCAUCUAGUUGGGCAGUAGCAUGACUUUAUACCUAGCCUACCGAUUGAAUCGUAUGUAUAGAUGAAAAGAAAAGACAUUUCAUACACCAAUCACCAUCAGUUGCUUGUUGGUAUACAUGCAAUGUUCUAGAAGAAAAAAAAGACCAGUCCUAUAUUCAUAUGUACACCUAACCUACCGAUUGAAUCGUAUGUAUAGAUGAAAAGAAAAGCCAUCCAUAGAGUACCAAGUUAAAGACGAUAUGACCUCACAACUAGAUUGGGUUGGGUGAGUGGAGUGCCACUUUAAUCCUUGUCUGCAGCACGCGUGAUGAUAUUUCUUCAGAGGCGCUGAGGUGGGGAACAGGACUAAUAGAACAAAUAGCAAGUGAGAUUUUUAGAGCUUCACUAGGUUGGAGGCCUGGUGUGCUGAGAAUUUGUCAGGGUGUUCUUCAGGUUGCAACACUGCUGCCAAGGCAUUUCUCCAUGUAGAAGGUAUAGAGGGGAAUUGGUGGAAUUGUUGAUGCAUUGCUUGAGCCUCGUGGGCAUAUAUAUGGGAGUACAUGAUCUUCUUGGAUUACAAGAUAAUGUAGAAUUAUUCCUAGUCUAUCCUAUGUUUUCUAAUAAUCACGAUACUCAACAUCCUCGCAAUCACAAUGUAGCGAUGCGGACGUUGAGACUGAAGAAUAACAAGGUCGAUGCAUCACGGGAGUCGUGGUUGGAGUGGAAACCGACGAGGUUGCUCAAGCAAUGUGUUAGCCCUUUGUGUUGAUGUCAAGGUAACCAAGAGCGUAGGGUGGUGUAGCUGUGCAAGGGGCGCCAUGGUCGAUGCCGAGUCGGGGUGGCUGGUGUCGAGGUAGACGCCGUGGACCGGAAAGAAGAGUGGUGGCAGCGGCGUCUAGGUUAGGAGCACGGCAAGGUGCUCAAAGUAGGCAAAGAAAAACCCGGCAACAGUUGCAGCACUGCUGCCAAGGCAUUUCUCCAGCUUCGCUCUGAAGAUCUUUUGCUUUGCUUUGUUCCUCCCUUGGUUUGUAAUGAAGUUUCCGUGUUUUGUGAUGUUUGCAAGUUCGCUUGAGUGUGUAUAUGUUUGGCCAAAGUGUGCCUAAUAUGUCCUAGUCGUUAGUCUUUGGACCUUCUAUCUGGAUCUAGCAGAUAUAGUUUGCAUCCAAGACCAUAGUUUCUGUAUAUGUAAUCGGAGGGGUGAGGGGCCCUCUUUUCUCUCAUAAAUAAAGAAAGAAAUAUAAAGUAAUUUAUGAAGGUUUGUUUGGAGCUUAUGGUUAUCUCCAUUAUUCAAAUAACCAUGACUAUGAUGGAUUACGUCCCUGCACCCAUCCAUUUGUCAAACAAAAUUUUACUCCCACCUUCUCAUAAUAUAAGAUGUUUUUUGACACAACACAAAUGUCAAAAUCGUGAGACGUAGUAGUAGUUACUGUGCAUUAAAGUUAAUUUUGCAUGAAAUGAUCUAUGAUCGCGAUUCUACAUUAUAUUUUCAUCAAAUCCCAGAGAAGUAAUGUGACAUUAGGGAAGAACAGGGUUAGUUCUGGCAUCUGCUCUGAACUUGGUCCUCUAGUGUGUAUGUUUUUAAUAAUCAACUAAAAACAAUGUGUAUAUGCUAUUAAUUAGACAGUUCAUGGUAAAUACAUGAUUUACGAGAUCCAUUCAUAUAUUUCCAAAAAACAAGAUGCAAAAAAAUUUAGACCAUUAGUUCGUGGAAAGUGGAAAUUUAGUUGGCACAUGUUGGAGCAGCGAUCUAGGUGGAAUCUUCUCCGGUCAUUGGCGACGAGCUCGUUUGUUUCGGCAUCAGCGAUCCAGGCAAAAGCAGAGCGGCAGCGGCUUGGCUAGGUUAGGAGAGAGGCGGCGGUGCUCGAAGUAGGCGACGAAGAACCCAACAGCGUGACAAAAAACCAGCACAGACGAUGGCGUUCUCGCGUCAAGGAAGACGGAGUGGCGCAUGCCACACAGAAGUCGAUGCAUGUGGACGGAAAAGUGGACCACGUGCCGUGGCACUACAGCCCGAAAGGGCAACGCUGCGGCAACGCGUGGGUUGGGAUGAUGGUGGGGACGACCUCAGGACAGCAGCAGGGACCGAGUGCCACGCUCGCUACGGUCCUACAACAGUGCGAGGGUUGCUGCAAGCACGAGGGUGACGCAGUGAGACCAGCAGGUCAGUGCAGCCGCAGGGAGAACCACGGGGCGAUGACAAAGACCGUGUGCUGCGCUGGCUACGAGCCAAUGGGGCGACGUGAGGGUCAGUAAAAGCACGGGGACGGCCUGAAGCGGAGGACCAUGGGAUGGCUUUGAACCACGAGCCACGACACUACGACCCAAAAGGGCGACGCAGCGGCAACACAUCGGUUGGUGCUGCCAUGGCGAGAACCAUGGAGUGGCAAUGCUGCAGUCCAAAGAGACCACGCCGAUGUAGCUCGUUACCGGAUCGAUUAAGAGUGCGCUGUACUCGAGAACAGGACGUUGGCGGCCGGCGCUGUACCCUGGAUGCGGCGGUGAUGCAGAGCGAAUCCAGCCCUCGAAGUCCAAUACGUCCUCGUCCAGGACGGUAAAUGGGUGCAUGUACCUAUAUGUGCAUGGAUGAGGCUUAAGCGGCCAGCCACACCGCAAAUAACCAGGGACGCCCGCGGGAGCAGCCAGGAGGUCACCCCCAGUAGGCCGAAUCCUACUUUGGGUGCUCCCAAGUGGCGCGCCCCCCUGCCAUAUUUGUCGGAGGGGAAGGAAAGAGGGGGGGGGGGAGAGAAGGAAGUGGGAUCCUAUUCCACACUUGCCUUUCCUCCUUUCCCUUUCCUUCUCCACCUUUGGCCGCGCACCAGCCCCUUGUGGCUGGUGUGUUUCCCCUCUUGGCCCAUAAGGCCCAUAUCUUUUGCCGGCGGUGCCCGAAACCCCUUCCGGUGAUCUCAUAUGUACCCGGUACCCUCCGGAACACUUUCGGUGUCCGAAUACCAUCGUCAUAUAUAUCAAUCUUUACCUCGUCAUGUCUGUGAUCUCAUCCGGGACUCCGAACAACAUUCAGUCACCAAAUCAUAUAACUCAUAUAACACUAUAUCGUCAACGAACGUUAAGCAUGCGAACCCUACGGGUUCGAGAACUAUGUAGACAUGACCGAGACACCUCUCCGGUCAAUAACCAAUAGCGGAACCUGGAUGCCCAUAUUGGCUCCUACAUAUUCUAUGAAGAUCUUUAUCGGUCAAACUGUUAUGAAAACAUACGUAAUUCCCUUUGUCCAUCGGUAUGCUAGUUGCCCGAGAUUCGAUCGUCGGUAUCUUCAUACCUAGUUCGAUCUCGUUACCGGCAAGUCUAUUUACUCGUUCCAUAAUACAUCAUCUCAUGACUAACUCCUUAAUCGUUUGCUUACAAGCUUAUGAUGUGUAUUUCCAAGAGGGCCCAGAGAUACCUCUCCGAUACUCGGAGUGACAAAUCCUAAUCUUGAUCUAUGCCAACUCAACAAACACCUUCGGAGAUACCAGUAGAGCAUCUUUAUGAUCAUCUAGCUAUGUUGUGAUGUUUGAUAGCACACAAUGUAUUCCUCCGGUAUCUGGGAGUUGCAUAAUUUCAUAGUCGAAGGAAUAUGUAUUUAACAUAAAGAAAUCAAUAGCAGUAAACUGAAAGAUCAAUAUGCUAAGCUAACGGAUGGGUCUUAUCCAUCACAUCGUUCUUCUAAUGAUAUAAUCCCAUUAUCAAAUGACAACAAAUGUCUAUGGUUAGGAAAUUUUAACCAUCUUUCAUGAACGAGCUAGUCUAGUAGAGGCUUGCUAGGGACACAGUAUUUGUUUAUGUAUUCACACAUAUAUUUAAGUUUCCGAUCAAUAGAAUUCUAGCAUGAAUAAUAAACCUUUAUCAUGAAUAAGAAAAUAUAAAAUAAAAACUUUAUUAUUGCGUCUAGGGCAUAUUUCCUUCAAGGAUGCAACAACCGAUCUGGAUGGAUGAGAGUUGUGGAUAAGGGUGGGCACAAAAACCAACCAACAAAAUGCCAAAGCGAUACAGAACCGGAAAAACCAAUUUUUUGGUUUUUGCUGUUGGUACAGUGAAAUUCGGUUUUCCCUUAUGAUAACCGAAAUUAAAUUGCUCGGUUCGGUAUGAAACCUAUAACCGAAAGAAAAAUUGAUUUCAUACAGUAAAAAUUUAGCUCCCGUGAGGAUUCGAUGUCACGUCGUCCACCUGCAAUGCGGUUGCCAACCACUAUACCAAACAGGCUCUAGUGAAUUAUCAAGGCGCGAUCUGUUUAAGACGUAAGUAUAACCAUACUAUUUACUGCAUAUAUAAAUUAGAAAAACAUGAUUUUGAAAAAAUCUGAAAAUUCACAGACUAAAAAACAAACCACGAACUAAAAAAAGGUUCACGAAUUCAAAGUAUUUUCAUGAACUAGAAAAAUUAAUCGAUUUAUAAAAAGUUCAUCGAUUUUGAAAAAUAGUUCAUCAGUUUUUAAAACAGUUCAUCAUUUUCAAAAAAUAAAUAUUCAUUUUUUAAAAAAGUUCAUCCGUUUUGAAAAAGUUCAUCUAUUUUGAAAAAAAGUUCAUUGUUCUUUAAAAAGAGUUCAUUAAGAAUUUGAAAAACCAUUGUGGAUUUUGGAAAAAGAAUUCAUUGAAUUUGAAAAGUUCAUAAAAUGAAAAAAAAAGCUCAAUGAAUUUGAGAAAAGUUCAUUAAAAUUGAAAAAAGUUAUUCAAAAUUCAGAGAAAGUUCAUCCAAUUUGAAAAAAGUUCAGCGAAAUUUUGCAACAUCACCAAUUUUAAAAAAUGAUCAAAUUUGAAAAAAAAUUCAGAAAUUGAUAGAAAAACUUCAUAUAUUUAGGUAAAAGGCUCACAAAUUAUAAAAAACAUGCAUUAAAGAAAACUAAAAAGAAUGAGAAAAAAAAUUAAAAAUAAAAAGAAUAAACGGAACUGAAUGACACAUAAAAGAAGAAAAACUAACUAUCUUUGCACUAGCGCGGUGGUGACCUGGUGGUUAUACCGUAGUGGGUGCAAUGGAGGGGCUGCGGGUUCGAACUCUAGUGCCAGCAUUUAUUGACGUUUUCCAAAAACAUAGGAAAGUAUUAGAAUGGGUCAGCCCAGCGCCGCGCUGGGCGCUGCAGGCGCCCGUUUGCAAAACUAGAUGAUGCCCCGCGCGUUGCUGCGGGAAGUUUGAACAAAUAAUUUGUAAGGAAUAAAUGCCAACUACAUGAUAUACAUGUGAAAGAAAAUAAUGUAAUAAAGCAGAAGCACCAUGUUGUGUUAUCAGUGCAUCAAAUGGUGUUUCGAACAUUGAGAAUAAUUCAGCUCAUCCAAAAAAUGUGGCUCACCCGCAAAAAAAGUGGCUAAUAAAAAAUGAUCUUUUAUGUCCAUGCUUCAAGUUAGGCUAAAGGUUUCAGUUACAUUACAUCCUCUCAGCCAUUUAGAUGUUUGUAGAUGUUGGUGCAAAAUAGAUCACAGUUAGAUACAGCACAUUCACAAAUGCUUGUAUUACAUGACAAUAAAAUGAGUAAGUAACAUUUGUUGAUAUUAUGUACACGCAUCAAUAGAUUUUCCCAGUCACUAAAUGAUACUCCCUCCAUUCAAUAAUACAUAUAUAAUUAUGGAACUGAGGGAGUAUUCCUGAAGCCUUCGGAUGACCAACAUUACCAAGUGUAUAAAAGUUUGUUCUCUCUCUCCAAUUUAGUCUCAAUACUGCGAUAUGGAACGAAAAAAGCAAUAUACUAUCAGUAAGUAUUGGGGAAAGGGGAAUCGUCACCUGAAAUCAAACAACUUCUACUUAUAUCUGCUAUAACAUAACUGUACUACAAUAGGUGCUAUACUUGAGUUACUAUCAGUAUAAAAAUAGCCAUUUCAAAAACCUGUUUGAACCCCUGUAUGAUCUAGUUGACGGAAUAAGAUAGAGGGAAUUAACUUGGACAAAUCAUUGCAGACGUAUAACUGGUUAGAGCAAGCAGAAAUAGCUACAGGUAGGUGACAAAUAUUAUAAAUGUUAAAAAGGAGAGAAACAUAUGUACCUUCUCAAGAAUUCCAAAUUUGGUUCAUAGCAGACUUCUUACCACACAUCAUUAGGAAACCUAUAAACCUUGAAUCAACAUUUUUAAAAAUAGAAAUGUAUAGAAUAAGCAUCAAUUAGUAAAUUCUUGAGAACCAAAAUCGGAGUACAUCCAUGUCAGAAGAUGCCAUGGUCCAAGUUGUAGCAUGAGCAGGGAACAAAAACUGAUUUUCAGAUUAAUUAGAAAGUCAUCGGAGAGGAAACAACGGUUGUGGGAUCAGGCAGGCAUGCCAUUGAUGCCAUGCUUGGAGGAGACUGUAAGUGGUGUGUGGUGUCGGCGACAGAUGCGGUAAUGUUAGCUCUUACACAAAGACCGGUCACAAGAAUUCAAAUGAACUCUGAAUUUGUAGUCAAGGAAACAAAUAGUAGACACGAAAUGGAUCUGACAUCACUGGGCAAAGCCUGCGCCAUUAUGCUCUCACGGUUUAUUUGAUAGUUUUGAACUUCUUUUAAACAAAAUUGAGAUUAUUGAAAUUGUACAUACUACUGCUGAAAAGAAACUACACGAUAAUUCAAGUGGUUAUGCCCUCAAAGUAUGCAAAGAGAGGGCAUGUGAAACGGUUAUAAUCUUCUGCAGGUGACCUGAUGAAAAAGAAAUGUUUCAUUAUCAAAUUUUCCAUUCAUGAAAAAACAAAAUUCAUAUAAGUAAAGCUCACACUAAAGAUAUCACAUAUUAAGCAGGCCAAUGAUGUUGAAAAGUUAUCCGUCAGCAACCAAAUGGAUUGUAUUCUGGUGAAAUCUCUAACAACAGUGACGAUCUCUAGAAAGGUAGCCCCAAACACACAGUACACAGGGUACUUGUAUAGAAUGCAAGUUUACAUAUCCAACCAAAGAAAUAUUAAUUCAGAUUUGAAUGAAGCAAACAAAAAUGCAGAAUUAGCAAUGGAGGGGAACUUGGGAAGAAUAUACCAGUAGGAGACAAAAAUCUGCAGAGUAUGCAUAUGCAGUGAUCGGGCCGACCAAGAUGACUACUUGGUUGUCGUACAACACGCACCACCUGAGAUCACGGGAAGAGGAAGUGAAGUACCAUCUCGGAUAUUAUUAGGAGAGGAAGCGCCAAACAUCAAUUACUGAAUACCUGCAACAAAAGCUAUAGAUGAGAGAGGUUGUUGUUUCUUCAGAAGUAGGCUGUUAAAUAUAGAAGGCAGAAGGCAUAAAGCAGUGGGUGUGUACGCCUGUACGGUUCGUGUGAUCUCUUUUGAAAAAGAUUUUUUUUGAAGACAGAAUACCAAAUAUGUACUGAAGAACAGGUACUGAACCUUGCAAAUCCAUCGCUGGUAGAAAGGAGCCAAACUUCCUGUGCAGAUGCAUGAGGUCAGCUUGCCCCAAAACAAAAAAGGCACCAUUGCUGCAGUAGAACGUCACUUGCCAGGAAGGGCCACCAUUGCCGCAGUCAAUGUCGUCUCUGUAUCAGUCGAGGCGGCACCUGCGUGCGUCGAUCUAGCACUCCUGCAAGUCAUGGUUAUCAAUGCCAAUGGAGGCCCUACCCGAUGUCACCACCAGCCCAACCCUUCGAGGCCGAAAAGAAAAACUUCCACCGGCUGGAGACCUCCCCGGCGCGACGUCCUCCAUGGUUGAGUUGCCGGGAAGAGCGUCCAUCCAGGCGAGAGCCCAGCGGAUGCGUGGUGGGGAAGUUGAGCGGCACCGAGAAGGGUUAGCAGCUCCACGGGAAGCCUUCACGGCCUUCUGUCGAGGCACCCGACACACGACGGCAAGGUAAACGCCGAUAGUGGUUGGGGUCGAUGUCGGCGCAGUGGCAUCCGCCACGAGGCCCUCUUCUUCCAAGGCGGGGGCCCCUACGUCGGGGAAGCCGGAGCACUGCUCGGACGACCGCGUGCGGAUCUCGUUGCAAGGGGGCACGCCCUCGCCAUCACUUACCUUAACAAAUCGCAAGCGCUCCGGAUAGAAAUACUACCAGAUUGUAAGAGCAACUGAAUCGGCAGAGUAAAUGUGUAGUGGGAUUUGAUGGAGAUUGGAGAAGACGAAGAUGAAGGGGAAUCCGCUGCCGUGGGGAACUGGUGAGGCGCUCUGUUGGGAAGGAUGCGAUGGGAAUCGCCACAGAUGGAAAUAGACGUGCGUGGGCAGCCUCUCUCACCGGUCUCUCGCCGGUCCUACCCGCAUUAACUGAAGCCAACAUGGCUGUUUUCUAGUGUGGUUGGUCCCACAUGUAAUCCUCUAACUAAACGCUGAUGUGGCACUGAUGAUGAUGUGGAUAGCUUGCAUGUUAAAAGAAAUAGGAUAGUGGGGAUGAACUAUUUAGGUAUUAUAGAUACACAUUAAUGGGUGUCUGCAUCGCCAAAUAGGGUUCGCCCAUACAGACGACCCAGUGUGAGCUAAGCCAUUUAUUGACUUUUUCAAAAAAUAGAGGAAAAUGUUAGAAUGGGUCGGCCUAGCGCGGGGCGCUGCAGGGGCCCGUUUGCAAAAUACACAUUAAUGGACGCGUGCAGCGCCAAAUAGGGUUUGCCCGUACAGACGACCUAGUCUGAGCUAAGCCAACCUUUUGCGUUCUAGGUAUGGGCCUUUUACCAAUUGCAUGGCCAAAGCCUCAAACGGAAUAACUAAUACCACUACUUCUUUGUCUAAAAAAACCCUACUUCUGAGAGCCGGUGGUGUGCAACGACUUUGUUUAGUCCCACAUCGUGUAGGUACUCUCAAGGGACAACAUGCUCAGUUAUAGAAGAGGGUGGGGGUGCACAAACGAGUUUGAUCACAGCUGAGUUGUAAGCUUGUAAGCAACAAAGUAUAUAUUCUGUUUAAACUGAAAACCGAACCAAAUUUGCAGUUAACUGAAAUUUUGGUUAGCCAUUUUUGGUUGUUAAUUUCAUUUUCUACUUUUGUAAACCAAAUUUGAAAAUUAACCGAAUAGUAUAAACCGAAUUUUUGGUUUCUACCAAAUGCCCUCCCCUAGUUGUGGAGGCCAUGGCCCAAUGUUGGAGUAGAGAUGCAGGGUGAGACAACGGUGGACGGGCAACUCAAUUCGAUCUUAUAUCAAAGAACAAAAAAAGAUCACCGACCAAUUGAUCAGCGAGAGAGAGAAAACCUAUUAGAAUGAUUGUUUAUUCCUUGAGGCUCGUGGGCGUAUAUAUAGGAGUACAUGAUCAAUUUGAAGUACAAGACUAGUCAGAACAAAUCUUAGUCCAUCUCAUAUUUCCUAACUAAUCACGAUACUCAACACCGCCUCAUCCAAACCAGUUUGGAAAAGAAGCUUUACCGACAAAAAAUCAGGAUAUGUGUGGCAUACUACUAUCAUCAUUCUAUAAAUCCUCUAGGAGUAACAAUCAGAGGUAGAUGCGUUCGUGGAAGGAACAACUCAUCAGCCCACCAGAGAUAUCUACAACUGGGAUGAAUUUUACAUGUGAAAUUUACUGAGUCGUAACACCCAUGACAGAAAGUGCAUGGAUUCUUUUUGGCUAAUUUUCGAUAAUAAAUAAAUAAAGGGUGACAUUCACAGGUAUCCGCUGGGGCCACGGUAUCCUCUCCAGCAUGGCAUGUGGUCCCAACAACAAUUUGGCCCAGCACUAAAUAAUUUUUUUUGUACACUUGGUGACUAGUACUCCCUCCGUCCCAUAAUAUAAGAACGUUUUUGACACUAGUGUAGUGCCAAAAACGUUCUUAUAUUAUAGGACAGAGGGAGUACUUUUCAAAUAUAAUAGAUUAACUGCAAGUCAAGACAAUUGGUUUUUCUUUGGUCAUGUUAUCUCUUGCAUGCAUUUCAUUAUGUCCCUUUUUGAGGUCUAUAGAUGGCUUGCUGGACCAUAUCCAUUUGUGAUCCUCUAUCCCUUUAGCCUUAGUGGGGACCACCUGCCGAUACGUGGUCAUGAUAUCUGUUGGAUGCAACUUUAUUUUCUUGUAAGUCUUAUAGAUGAGAUACUUCGUUCCUUAUCCAUUUGACAUUAUAUAUCGUUCCUUGCGCCUCGUCGGGUGUGGAAUUCAAGGAUGGAAAAACGGCGUGCCAUUGCUUGUUUUAUGGUGAUGCUUGUGUUGUUAGGAAGCAGUAUGACUGUAGGUAUGUUCUAGCUUUUGUUCUUCUGAAGUAGGUUUCUUAUGGGAUAACUGGAAGUUUUCUUAAAUAUGAUGUUGAAGCACAUUGUUUCUAUGCCAUGGAGGGAUAAUACUUGUUACCAAUUAUGCAAUAGUUUGACAUGGUAUGUUGUCACAAUUGAUGUCUCACUAUUAUGGUCUAACCCUUAAUAUAUUUGAGAUGCACAGAGAACUGUGAGAUUAAGCGCGACAGGAUGACAUUGUGUAUAAAGUCUGAAUGCCUCUAUCAUUGCCAACAUCGUUGGUAUUAUAAAAUCACGCAGUAUUGGUGCGAUGGUGUGGUCUUCGGCUUCUGCAAUUGCAAGAUUUGCAUCGUCGUAUAGAACUUCGAUGGAUAUUUACUAUGUCAACUGCACUUGAAGCUUUCAUUUAACAAUUGAGAACUUCGUAUCCUGGAGUAAUAGAGUUAUGUUUGGAAGCGAUAAUAAUAUGUCUAGUCUCUUAAAAAAUUUCUUAAAGGCAAAAUUCAUAGAGUUUUUAAUAAAUAUACUAAAUUCUAAGUGCACAUGAAGCUUUCAUUUAUACUAGAAACACUGCUUAAAACCUAAAUCCAUGGACCAUAUAUAUAUAGGUUGAUUACAUUAGUCCGUGAGUUACUCAAAUAGAUUACUUAAAACCUCUCGGUCCUUCACAAAACUAUUUUUUAACAUAUUUGGACAGGUGCGAUAAAUUUCCUACUAUUUGCCUAUUUAGUUACCUUAGUCUAUGAGUAACUUUAAUGUAAUAGUAUCUUACGCUCAACAUCAUUGCCACCAACAUUGCACUACCAGGGAAAAGCCUAGCAGUAGCGCGAGUUUUAGGUAUAUCAGUAGCGCGGGUGCCCGCGCUACUGAUACAACACUAUAGCUAACUGGUAGUAGUAGUGCGGGUGUCAUCCGCGCUACUACUAUAUCCGUUAGUAGUAGCGUGGAUACUACCCGCGCUACUACUAACUAGUAGUAGCGUGGGCUGGGACCUUCACUAUUGCUAACUAAUUAGGAAUUAAAAAAAUAAAUUCCAGCCAUGGCUGCUGCUGCUAGCUAGGCGUCAUCGUUCUCUUCAUUCAUGGUCGAUGCUGAUCCUGGAGGGGAUGAAGUCGUCCAUGGUGAUGGUGCUUCCCCAUCCAACUCUUCUCCACACCUCUCCUUUGCUGCUACUAAAAAAAAGAGACAAGGAUUAGAAGAGGAAGAGAGAGAUAGAUGUAACACCCCCAGUGUCAUGUUAAUGGUGCCACGUCAUCAUGUUACUGUUGCUAAUCUUCACUUGAUCCAAAUCACAAUUCAAAUUCAAGAUCAAACUAAAGUCCAAAAUUCAAAUUUCUCUAACAUGCAAACUAAAAUGUUCAAAGGGUGGAAGAUAAUCCCUGGAUAUUUUUCAUGUUGGAACCAACCUCUUUUGAAUUCCCAAAAUGCCCCUGGGAAUUAAAUUUUGUUCCAGCAGCAAUUAAACGGGCCUUUUUAGUUUCCAAAAAUGGUUAGACAACUCCUUUUGACCCCAUAUUUUUUGUUUCCAUCUCAAUAUAUUGUGUUAUAUUUAUGUGCCAAGUUUUAUGCAAAAUAAAACUCAUUUGGUACAAAAAGAAAAUGCAAAAGGAAAAGAGAAAAUUGAAAACAGAAAAGAAAAGGAGGAGGACCUAAGCUACUGGGCUUAUUAGCCCACCUAACUAAAGACCGGCCCAUCCUCACCGAACCCUCCUCUCUCCCCUGUUCAUGCGACCAGGUCGCUACAGGGGCUUGGUCAACCGGACCACCUCGCCGACGCCGACGCCGGGAGGGGAUAAGGGCGCCACGCCCCGACCCCUCGAUCCCACCCCUCCCCACUUGCCUCCUCGCCUCCCAGAUUCACCGGUCCCCUCGCUCCCUCCUUCUCCACCUCCCCCUCCAGAUCCGCCUCUCGCCGAUGCGCCAGUCGCCAUCGUUGCUACGCUACCGCGCCCGCCGUCAUCUAAGCGUUCGUAGCUCGUGUCCAUGGACCCCGCUGGCCUCCGCCUCGUCUUCUGGUGCCCUCUGCUGGAGUUGGGAAGCACCGAUGCUAACGGCUCCGUCUUCCUCCUUCGACCACCGCCGUUCUCCUUCGACCUAGGCGUCUUCUCCGUCUACAGCGAGCUAUGCAGCUCCUAAACCUCCACCGGACCAUCGUGCGUCCCCCAGGUGAGCUCCUCUCCCUCUCCCCUAACUACCCUGCUUCUGUCCGCGCUCAUAACUGUCGUUCCUGCCGUGGCCGUACCCAUCGCCAUCAUCGUGCCCGUACUCGUGGCCAUCCUCACCGACGAGCUUGCCCGAGCACGCAGCCAUGCUCCCCGCGGUCUCGUACGCUCACUUCGCCUAGCCGCGCCCGCCAGGGCCCCGUGCCCGUCCCGCUCUUGCUCUCCCGCAGCGCGCUCGCUGCCACCGCCUUAGGUGCCCGCGCCCGCAGCUCACUCCUGCCAACACGCUGCUGUUGCCGCCUCCGUCUGCAACUCUGCUGCUGGUGCCCGCUCGCUGACCGCGUCCCCGCAACCGCCUCUGCUCGCGAGCCUCGCCCCACCUCUUUCUUCUGCUGCCCUGGCGCCGCUCACCGCGCCGCCUCCCACCGCUCUGGCGUGCUGCCGCACUCGCCGUGCCACCGCACGCCCGCUCGCACACUACCACGCUGGCCGGCGCCCGGCCGCAGCCUCACCCGCGCCCGCGUGCCACCGCCCCCUGCGUCCGCCUCCGCCCAGGGCCACCGCGCCCUCGACCCCCUGCGCUGGCGCCCCGUCGCUCCCCAUCAGCCUGACCAUGCCCGGGCACAGGCGCCGGGUGCCCACGCGUGAUCCGGCGCCCGCUAACCCUCCACGAUGGCUAGCCCUGUGGCUAUGACCACAAGGACCACACCCCUGUUUUGUUAAAAAAAGAUUUUAAAAUAACAAAUAAUAAUAGUUAAAUUAAGUUAGUUAGAUUAAUUAGUUUAGCCUAAGGCCCCAAUGAUCGGUGGGUCUAGUGCCUAAUUAGCUAAUUAGAUUACUGUGACAGGUGGGUGCCUGGCGUCAGCUUGACCAGUCAACUUGCUGGUUGACUGCUGAUGUCAGGAUGACGUUAUGCUGAUGCAGUAUUAUCUUUUUUAGUUAAUAAUAAUUCCAGGAAAUAUUUAAAUCUUUUAAAAUUCAUAGAAAUUAAUCCGUAACUCGGGUGAAAAUGUUUUCUACAUAAAAGUUGCUCACAAAAACGAGACAAAUCCGGGUACGCGGUCCGUUUACCUGUCAGAUGCCUCUAACUAUCUAAACAUGGAACAUUCCCCCUCCGGUCAUCUGUCUACACAGGUCCGGAACCGGGAAAACAUUCCCGGUUGAUUUCCCCCUUCACCUUUAUCGUGUAGCCAUAUGUUAGGUCGCACCCGGCUCAUCAUAUUGCCAUGUUAUGCUUUGUGAUGCUUUGUUUGCUUUAUAUUUAUUGUUUCUUUCCCCUCUUCUCUCCGGUAGACCCCGAGACCGAUGCCGCCCCUGUGGUCGACUACGUCGACAACGACCCUUCUUCUCUUUCAGCAGAGCUUCCAGGCAAGCCCUCCCUUUGAUCAUCCCGAUAUCACCCAUUCUGUUCUCUCAUGCUUGCAUUAGAUUUUGCUACUGUAAUUGUUUGCUCCUAUUCUGAUGCAUAGCCUGCUUUUGUAUCUGUUGUUGUACCUUACCUUCUUAUCCUAAACUGCUUAGUAUAGGUUGGUUAGUGAUCCAUCAGUGACCCCCACCUUGUCCUUGUUGCCGCCGCUUCAUCAUCGAAGACCCGAUCAAUGGGAUCGAAGACCAGGCCCCAGCACUGCACAUCACUUUCCCCUUAGUUGCUCGACACUACUGGGUUACUAUCGAGUGCCGGGGGUGAGACCUCAUCAGCACUUCUGAUGUUAACCCUGUAGUGUAGCUAUUCGAUCGUGGUCAUCGAGGGUGAUUCCGUCUUAACCACUUCCGAUACGCCUCUGUCGUGCAACCCCUCAAGUGUGAACCUUGAGGGUGGUUCCUCUUACUUCACCUUGAUGAUUACAUCGAGUUUAAUCCAACGAAGGUGGUUCCUCAGGGUUCCCCUUGGCGUUGGACACACAAUUACUAUGGUUACUAUGACUUUACACUGAACCAUGUUACCAAAGACAGGUCGGCCCUGAGGGGUACCCGCACGAGCUUAAUUGUGAGUGAUGUGGGGUCGGGUUGACCUGGAAGGUGCCCGCGAGAUAAUUACGAGGCAUGGCCGGGCAUUCUUAGCCCUUGCCUCAAGUUCUCGAGACGGGGCGAUGGGGUCACAUCGAUCAUGAGUCUCUGCUCGUUACCGCGUGCUCCUAAUCCACUACGAUUUGGAUAUUUGAUCCGAUGGGCCUCUGGCCUGAUAGCACUAACCAUCACGUGGACAUAGUAUGGACGUUCUGUGUCGUAUGCAUCAGCCGAAACUUGAUAGACGUCAUGCGACUGAGCGGCGCGCGCUGGGUUGGACUGGUAAGCACCUGCCUUUUAAGGAGGUAGCUAGGUCUGCUCACCGGCUGCCCACACAAUGUGCAGGAGUUCCUGGGGCGAUGGCCCAAGACCCCUGGGGGCAUAGGUUUAGUCCGGCGUGCUUGACCUCUCUAUUAAGCCUAGGUCAGGUUGCGGCGUAUUGUUUGGCCGAGUUCGGGCAUGACCCAGUAAAGUGUGUUCGGCCGGAGUUAAUCGAGCGUGGUGGGUAAGUUGGUGCACCCCUGCAGGGAAGAAAACAUCUAUCGAUAGCCUGUCCUACUGUAACGGACACUCGGAGUUGUAUCCCGAUGAAUACAACUAGAACUGGAUAAUUGAGAUGAGAAAUGAAUAUGAGAAAUGGAUAGUAUGGCUCUGGGAUAUUCUCGCAGGGAGUCGAGGAAGGAUCUCUGGGUGAGGUUGAUGACACUACUACUACAUUACUUUAUGCUACUCUUAUCUCCCUGAUGCUCCAAGAUGCUUGAAGCUGCUUGAAGAUGCUAGUCUUUGAUAGGCUAGGCUUUCCCCUUCUCUUCUGGCAUUCUGCAGUUCAGUCCACAGAUACUACCCAUUUCAUUGACACCGAUGCAUAUGUAGUGUAGAUCCUUGCUUGCGAGUACUUUGGAUGAGUACUCACGGUUUUUUUGCUCCCUCUUUUUACCCUUUUCCAUUCUUCUCGGAUGACGCAACCAGAUGACAGAGUCCAGGAGUCAGAUGUCACCACCGACGAUUACUACUACACCAAGGGCGCCUACUACUACGUGGAGGCCGCCGGCGACCAAGAGUAGUUAGGAGGCUCCCAGGCAGGAGGCCUUGCCUUUUCGAUCAAUGUUGCUUUUGUGCUAGCCUUCUUAAGGCAAACUUGUCUAACUUAUGUCUGUACUCAGAUAUUGUUGCUUCCGCUGACUCGUUUGUAUUCGAGCUUAUGUAUUCGAGCCCUCGAGGCCCUUGACUUGUAAUACUAGAUGAUACCCCGCGCGUUGCUACGGCAAAUUAUGGUUAGAAAUUGAUUAAAAUGAAAAAUAUAGCACAUGACAAUAUAGAAUUAAAAUGGCUAGCUCGUGGUUGUUGAUGACAGCUGGAACAAUCAUAUAGAGCCCCUUAAUGUGAAAACAAAUGGAAUUGGUAAUGUGUCAUUGUCGCAACUCCAAGGUUGAAUAUAAUACUUCUUCCAUUCACAAAUAUAAAAUGUUCCAACCUUUUUCUGAUUCAGAAAUUUAUAGACGCAUUUUGGUGUGUUUGAUCACUCAUUUCAGUUCGUGCGUACUCCAUAUUCAAUGUCUAAAAAAUCUUAUAUUAUUGAAUGGAUGGAGUAUUAUCUAAAUAGGACAAAACCAAUUAUACUGCAAUAAAUUCUAGCCGAGAAAUUCAACCAGGACAUAAUACAAACUUGGUAGAUAAUUAAGAUAGCUUGUUACGUGAGAAACACAAACCCAAAUAAGGCUCUCGCCAACAGAUUACUUGAAUGUUUGUUAGUUUGCUCCUUGGAUAUUGCCUACCCUGUCUUUGAUUUUCUGGUUUUCCUGUGUAUAAAACAACUUGACAAUGAGUUAGAAGCACACGUCUAACUUUUUUAUGUAUAUUAACAUGUAUGGUUACACUAAUCAUGUUAGUGAAAUAUUUUUAGCUUUCUUACAUGAUCAACAAUAGUCUUUAAAUCAGAUAGUAAAAAAGACUAAAAAUAAUAUAUGUAGGAAAAACAUGAGGGAGAUGGGAUUAUUACAUGGGUCAACCCUCAGUUGCAGCCUGUUUGAAUUUCACAAAACAAAGAUCUGCACAAACAACAUAAGAGUGGGUGACUUAAUUUUAGUAGACUAAUGCAGCCCAAAGAUAUUGGUAUUACUACUCAAAUAAAAACAAAUAGCCAAAUACUAAUCAAAUUUUACAUAAGCAGCAGCACAUACAGGCAGACGAUGGCUGGAUCUUGUGUAAAGGGAUGGCGAUCUGCUUACUUGCCACUCACCAGUGCAACGGAGAGGACAGAGCGCACUGUGUGAUAACUGAGCCAGGCAGGUUAAUUGUUCAGAGAGAAUAACAUGCAAAUUCAGAUGUUUCAAGCUAAUAGGAUUCAGAGAUCUACUUGAGUCAAGCUCAUCAGACCGUGGAUUAGUACCAUCCUUACAGCCAGCUAGCCAUACAUAUCGUACACUGUAUAACCAAAAGUAGUACUACUGGCUCUUCUUAAUUAGGCUACUCCUCUCGAGUCCUUCCUAUUCACAAAGGAGUACCUCAUGUCUACGUACACUUUCCCAUCAGCGUCCAGAAACUGCAAAUAAAAUUCACACAUGCAUACAUACUUCCGUAUAAGAUAGAUUCACAGGAACAAAAUAACUGCACACCAUCUCCUUAUAAAAAGAAUUUUAUAUCUGACAAAUGCCCUUAUUAUCUUUGAUUUAGCAGAAUACGAACCCGUUGCAAAGAUACCAGUUGGAGUGGUAUAUUCUUCAGCCUUAUGUGUAUAACGCUCUUGCCGAUGGUUGAAUGUCCCGAGCGUCACCGUCUGAUCUUAACUACAAAAUAAAACAUUUACAGAUAACAUAUAACCUAGCUUUCAGUCAAUGAACUAAUUUCUUACUGAACAAUCCUAAUAGGAGGAAGGAGAGGAAGUAGGAGCCGGUACCAUGGCCUUUUUCUUGCGAAAGGCAAUGGGUCGUCUCCACCUUCGCCUCGCAGCCGGAUGCUGAUGACAAAUAGCAUGGUGUUGGACACUCCGUCCGCGCAGUUCAGGUGGGACAGCUCACCGUCGGCGGCAUGGAGGAGCGCCUGCAAGUCCACAUCCACUGAUCCACAGCAAGCGCCUCACCAAAGGGGAUGUGGUGGAGAUCCACCCGUGAUGCACAGAGGUGUGGUGUUGUGGGAAGAAGAAGAAGCAGCCCCCUCGCGGUGGCCGCGGUGAUGCGCAGAGGUGGCGGACAGGGCUCCAAUUUGUCUCCUCAACGGAAGGAGACCCUCGACAGGUGUUGUGAUGGGGAGAUCGGGGGAUUGGAACAUCGGCAGGGGAUGGAAGGAGAAGAGGCCCAUGCAUAAUAAAUUCGGGAAGUUGAAGCGGAAAGGCCUGGUUCUGGCGUUCUUGCGAGGCGAGGAGGCGCUGGAGUCAAAGGGAUUACGAGAGGGUCGUCCAGCACGGGGGAUCAACACUUGCACUGCAGAUCUGAGCCAUAUGUGGUCGAUCGAACGGCUGAAAAGAAUUAUGAUGACGUGGACGCACGAGAGCGCGGAGAAAUCAGGUAGUGGGGUGCUCCUAUUUAGAUAUAGUAGAUAAAGCUUAUAUUAUUUUAAUUUGUGUUUAGAGUUGUGUUGUAAUAUCUUCCCGUGAGUCAUUGAUCUUGAUCGUACACAUUUGCGUGUAUGAUUAGUGUACGAUUGAAUCGAGGGUGUCACAAUAGAGAGGAGUAGGUGCAGCAACUCACCGGUGGCCGCCGGAGUUGGAGCCGAAACCCUAGAUGACGCCAUGGGUUGCGUCCAUCAGAGAUCUGGCCAUCGUCAUGGGCGGCGCUCUAUUUGUUCUUCCUCUCCUUCCAGCAUCGGAGGAGGAGGAGGAGGAGGAGGAGGAGGAGGAGGAGGAAGGAGGGGCUACAGUGGAAGAGGAGGUCACCGAAUUUGAGGGAGACGUCGAGGUGCGAGACCGGCAGUUGCGGUGGGCGAGGAAGGGCAUCACAGGUGGGAGGGAGAAGUGAAAUCGGGAGAGUGUGUGGGUCUGGGAUUGGGCCUCCGUGCGCUAUGUUUAUACAUGUCGGUGGGUUGAUAAUAGUAGCGCUGAGUUUAUACCCAGGCUACUACUAUGGCAUGCCCCGGGGUGCAUGGUGGAGACCAUUUAAUAGUAGUGUGGGGUUUAUAUAUAACCCGCUCUACUACUACUCCCUCCGUAAACUAAUAUAAGAGCAUUUAGAUCACUAUUUUAGUCAUCUAAACACUCUUAUAUUAGUUUACAGAGGGAGUAUCAACUUAGUAGUAGCGUGGGUUAUAAACGCACGCUACUACUACGGCUGGUCUCGGGAGGCACGGUGGAAAUCACUUAGUAGUAGCGAGGGGUAAAAACCCGUGCUACUACUAUCAACUUAGCGAGAGGUAAAAACCCGCGCUACUAGUAAGUAGCAGUAGCGAGGGAUAUAAAUCCACACUAUUAGUAAGCAUCUCCCUAUAAGCUUUUCCCUAAUAGUGUUGGUGUGGAAUUGAAGGCGCGACGCUCUCUUUUGGGAGCCCGCACUUCCUAGCAGACAACUUUGACCCACAGUGCCUCCAGGAUCUGGUUCUUGUGUUUCGGCCCAGCGUGUCAGCAUGAUAGUCUCUCAUGUCCAUUCCGGAUGCUGAAUCCGACGGGCACAAGAGUCCACACAACUGUGCCUCCGCUUAACCAACAGGAAGGAUAAUUUUCAACAGUUCACUAUAUGUAACAUUAAACACCUACGAAUUUGGCGUUUCAUGUCUCGCGUCUCGUAUUCCCGCUCAAAACUGGACAAAGUGGUGGUGGAUUAGUGGCAGGAGGUGCAUGAUAAUUAUUUCCUCCAAAAAUAACCUUAUUAAAAAUGUUAAAGUUGUGUUGAAUAUUACUUCCUCCGUCCGGAUUUAUUAGUCCUCUCAGCAUCACAAGCAUGUCCCAUUUUAUAAGGCACCGCGUUGGAAAGGUGCAUGCAUGCAACCAUUUCAUUGGUUGUAUUGAAAGCUAUUGUUGUUGGUGCCAUAGCUGAAAAGUUAAUACACUUCAUGUGUGCUUUUUCAUUGGCUGCAUGCAUGUGAGAGAGUGCAUUGGGAGUGGAAUGGAAGAAUUAAUGUGAGCAAAUUACUAUGUGUCUUGGUCUAAGAGAAGUUGUCUUUAGGCCUAAUAAACCCGGACGGAGGGAGUAUUGUACAAGGUAGGUUACAGUUGGACUUGGUUUUGGACUGUGUGUAGAUAGGGUAGGAGUUGUGUCCUAAUAGGAAACACUUGUAUCCUAGGCCUCUCAUAUAUUGCUGGCGUAGACACACGAUGUAACCUAUACCAACAUAAUAGCAUGUGCACGCGGGGGAGCCGGCGGCGUUUGCCGGCGCCCGGGCGGCCGGGGUGCGGUAUUGUAGCGGUGUCAUGGGGAGGAGCGCCCGUAGUCAUGCCCCGGGGAUGUAGCCAUGAUGGUGAACCUCGUUAACAAAUCUCGGUGUCGUGCUUGUGUGAUUGCUUGGUCCUCGAUAGAUCGUCAACACUGCUUUAGCACCCCCUGCAUAAUUUGUCUGACCACAUGUCUGACCACCAGUGCCUUGGCCUGUCGCUGUGUCCCAUGCUUACCGCGUGCCUCGCCGCUAUUACCGCGUCGAGCCUCUGCUGUCCUGGUCGAGUCUCCCGGGUAGCUAGCCCACACUGUCUCAACCCCCACUGCAGAGAACCACCGAUCAUCACCGACCGAUGCCGAGUAUCACGUCUCCAUCAGACCACUGGUACCCAGUCUGAACCACGUGUCUCUCGCCUUCCCGCUAAAAUAGGCUUCAACUCUCCAAAUUCUUAUGUCGUAGCCCCUCCAUCAGCACAGAGUGAAGUCUUCCGCCGGACUCCAGCUACACCCACUGGUGGAAAAACAGGCUUCCGUCCAGCCCCAUAAGUCGCGAAGCUGUAGGAACCGCGACUAAUGGGACCUUUAGUCGCGGUUCUGGAGGUGAACCGCGACCAAAGGCCUGGGCCCAGGGCGCUCGGUGGCCAGCUGGCGCACGUGAGGGUCUUUAGUCGCGGUUGGCCAGGACAACCGCGACUAAAGGCCUUCGGGCACCUUUAGUCACGGUUUGCCAGGCCAACCGCAACUAAAGCCUCUCCCCUAUAUAUACCCAUCCAGCAGCCAACACUUAGCCAUUUGGAGCCAUUCUCUUCACAAGUGGGUGUAGGUUUGCUUUUGGUUCCUCUUAUGCACAUAAGGUGUUUGAUGAAAUGCCCCAAGAGCAUGAAACAAACAUGACAUGAAGUGUUGGAGCCACACUCCUCGAUCGCGGUUAGCAACUUGAUGAACCUUUGAUGUGUCAUUGAUAAAAUAUGCAUGUGUGCAGUUCAUUGUUUAAUUUAUAUUGUUUGUAGCUAGUUAGUUUAACAAAUGCAUGAUGGUUAAUUAUAUAUUUUAUAUUAUAAUAAUGCAGAUGAAUCGGCAAUGGAUGUACAGUAACCGACUCUCCGGCGAGUUCACUACGGGUUUGAAAGAUUUCCUCGUAGUGGCUAAUGCGAACAAGCAGGGGGGUUUUGUUAUCUGUCCAUGUGUUAUCUGUAAGAAUCAGAAGGGUUACUCUUCCUCAAGAGAUGUUCACAUGCAUCUGCUUCGGCACGGUUUCAUGCCAAGCUAUAAUUGUUGGACCAAGCAUGGAGAAAGAGGGGUUAUAAUGGAAGAAGAUGAAGAAGGGGAUGAUUUCAUCGAUGAAAGCUAUCUUGCUCAUUUCGGUGAUACUUUCAUGGAGGAUGCUGAAGGUGAAGGGGAAGGUGAAGAAGAGGCACGUGAUGAUCCCGUUGAUGAUCUUGGUCGGACCAUUGCUGAUGCACGGAGACGCUGCGAAACUGAAAAGGAGAGGGAGAAUUUGGAUCGCAUGUUAGAGGAUCACAGAAAGGCGCUGUACCCCGGAUGCGAUGAUGGUCUGAAAAAGCUGGGCUGCACACUGGAUUUGCUGAAAUGGAAGGCAGAGGCAGGUGUAGUUGACUCGGCAUUUGAAAACUUGCUGAAAAUGUUGAAGAAUAUGUUUCCAAAGGAUAACGAGUUGCCCGCCAGUACGUACGAAGCAAAGAAGGUUGUCUGCCCUCUAGGUUUAGAGGUUCUGAAGAUACAUGCAUGCAUCAACGACUGCAUCCUCUACCGCGGUGAAUACGAGAAUUUGAAUGAAUGCCCGGUAUGCACUGCAUUGCGUUAUAAGAUCAGAGGCGAUGACCCUGGUGACGAUGUUGAGGGCCAGAAACCCAGGAAGAGGGUUCCCGCCAAGGUGAUGUGGUAUGCUCCUAUAAUACCACGGUUGAAACGUCUAUUCAGGAACAAAGAGCAUGCCAAGUUGUUGCGAUGGCACAAAGAGGACCGUAAGUCGGACGGGGAGUUGAGACACACCGCAGAUGGAACGCAAUGGAGAAAGAUCGACAGAUGGUUCAAAGAUUUUGCAGCUGACGCAAGGAACAUAAGAUUUGCUCUAAGUACGGAUGGCAUGAAUCCUUUUGGCGAGCAGAGCUCCAGCCAUAGCACCUGGCCCGUGACUCUAUGCAUCUACAACCUUCCUCCUUGGUUGUGCAUGAAGCGGAAGUUCAUUAUGAUGCCAGUGCUCAUCCAAGGUCCGAAGCAACCCGGCAACGAUAUCGAUGUGUACCUAAGGCCAUUAGUUGAUGAACUUUUACAGCUGUGGGGUGGUGUCCGUGUGUGGGAUGAGCACAAACAAGAGGAAUUUGACCUACGAGCGUUGCUUUUCGUAACCAUCAACGAUUGGCCUGCUCUUAGUAACCUUUCGGGACUGUCAAAUAAGGGAUACAAUGCAUGCACGCACUGCUUACAUGAGACUGAAAGUGUACAUUUGCCAAAUUGUAAGAAGAACGUGUACCUUGGGCAUCGUCGAUUUCUUCCGAAAAUUCAUCCAGUAAGAAAGAAAGGCAAGCAUUACAACGGCAAGGCAGAUCACCGGCCGAAGCCUGCGGAACGCACUGGUGCUGAGGUAUUUGAUAUGGUCAAGGAUUUGAAAGUCAUCUUUGGAAAGGGUCCUGGCGGACAAUCAGUUCCGAAGGGAGCUGACGGGCACGCAGCCAUGUGGAAGAAGAAAUCUAUAUUCUGGGAGCUAGAAUAUUGGAAAGUCCUAGAUGUCCGCUCUGCAAUCGACGUGAUGCACGUUACGAAGAAUAUUUGCGUGAACCUCCUAAGCUUCUUGGGCGUGUAUGGGAAGACAAAUGAUACAAAGGAAGCACGGCAAGACCAGCAACGUUUGAAAGACCCUGAUGACCGGCAUCCGGAAUGGUUUCAAGGUCGUGCCAGCUACGCUCUGACCAAAGAAGAGAAGGUCAUCUUUUUUGAAUGCCUGAGCAGUAUGAAGGUCCCGUCUGGAUUCUCGUCCAAUAUAAAGGGAAUAAUAAACAUGGCGGAGAAAAAGUUCCAAAACCUGAAGUCUCACGACUGCCACGUGAUUAUGACACAAUUGCUUCCGAUUGCUUUGAGGGGGCUCCUGCCGGAAAAUGUUCGAGUAGCCAUUGUGAAGCUAUGUGCAUUCCUCAAUGCAAUCUCUCAGAAGGUAAUCAAUCCAGAAGUUCUACCACGGUUACAGAACGAUGUGAUCCAAUGUCUUGUCAGUUUCGAGUUGGUGUUCCCGCCAUCCUUCUUCAAUAUUAUGACGCACCUCCUGGUUCACCUAGUCGAAGAGAUUUUCGUUCUCGGUCCUGUAUUUCUACACAAUAUGUUCCCCUUCGAGAGGUUCAUGGGAGUAUUAAAGAAAUAUGUUCAUAACCGUGCUAGGCCAGAAGGAAGCAUCGCCAAGGGCUAUGGAAAUGAGGAGGUAAUUGAGUUUUGUGUUGACUUUGUUCCUGACCUUAAGCCGAUUGGUCUUCCUCGAUCGCGGCACGAGGGGAGACUAAGUGGAAAAGGCACGAUCGGAAGGAAAUCAACGAUAUGUAUGGACGGCCAUUCUCUGACUGAAGCACACCACACUGUACUGACCAAUUCCAGCUUGGUGGCUCCGUACUUUGAGAAACACAAGAAUAUUUUACGCUCGGACAACCCGGGGAAGCCUGAAUCCUGGAUUAGGAAGGCCCACAUGGAGACUUUCGGCAGUUGGUUGAGAAAACAUUUAAUGAAAAAGGAAAAAGGAAGAAAAAAAAGAAAAAGGAAGAAAACAACAGAAGAAAAAAAGGAAGAAGAAAAAAAAGGAAGAAGAAAAAAAGAAAGAAUUUUUAAAAUUAAAUACGUGAAAAUACGUGAAAGAAUUUUUUGUGUCUAAUAAAAUCAAUUUUUUGAAAUACACGAAUAAUUUUUAAACGGAGAGGGGCGGCGAGGGGGGCGGCGAUGCGCGCGGUGUUUUUUUAGGGAUCGAGAGGGGACGGCGAGGGUUAUAAAUGUGUUGUCCUCGCCUCCCCUCUCGCGCUCUACCGCGACACCCUCUCCCACCCCUUCAUCGCCCCCUCCUUUCGCCACCGCCCUUUCGCCACCGCCACCGCCACCGCCCCCCUUCUUCACUUAAUGAAUUUGUUUUUACUACAUGUUUUCAGGACUGACAUAAUGGCGGACGAUAGAGCUGACCCGAUUAUGGACAACUAUGAUCCGGACGGUGAAGCACAUAUGUUCGGCAUCAUAAACGGCGAUAUUCUAUAUGUGCCGACCGGAGAAGAAGAAGAUGAUAUCUCUUCUUAUCUGAACCUUGACGGUGAAGAUGAAGGGCGCCGUCAGCAAGAUGAUGCCGAACAAACGUCGAUAAACGACGAUCUUCAAAUGGAAGUAGCAACCACCUCCGGCGCCGAGGUAUAUAUAUACAUUGAGCCUCUGGUGAUACAAACUAACUGAUUUGAAUAAAUAUGUGUGUACUAACGCGCGCGACUCUUUCUUAUUUUAGCCCUCGGCCGGAUCGUCGAAACAAUCGAGUACGUCGUCAAAGCGUGGCGCAACCAAGACGAUGAAACAAGGAGAAACAUGCACCAUCGAGGUUGUUGACAGUGCAACCGGCAGGCCGCUGGAGCCCCGCAAGAACGCCACCAAGUUUGUCAGCCAAUGCGGAGCCAUUGUUAGAGACAACGUCUCGAUCACCGUCCAGGAGUGGAAUGAGCCAAAGAAGGCACGAAUUGAUGGUUUCACUUUUGUCGAUAAGAGAACAAAAAAAGAUUGCUUCAAGAAGCUUAUGGAACAUUUCGUUCUACCUCCGGAAUACAACAAAUUCGAUGAGGAGGGUAACAAGAUUGAGGAAAACAAGGAGAGGAGGAGGCUAGUCAAACAGUUCGCUCUUCAUAAGAUGGCCGACGCAUUCCGGAAAUUCAAGCAAAAUCUAGCCCAUGACUUUGUCAAGCAGAACAAGACUCCGGAUUUCAAAGGACAAUAUGAGAAACUGAAACAUGAUUGGCCAGAAUUUGUGAAGCAAAAGAAAUCGGAGCAGUUCAUUCAAAUAUCGAAAAAAAUAAGGAAAAUACGGCUAAGAAGGAGUACAAUCAUGUUAUGGGGCCAGGAGGGUAUCGCAUUUGGGUGCCUAGGUUGGAGAAGAUGGAGAACGAGCUGAGGGCGCGAGGAAUCCGUCCAGGUACGGAGGGAUGGGACCCAAGGGCCAAAAGCUGGUGGUACGGGCAUGGGGGAACGCUGAACCCGGAGACAGGGGAGUGUGUUUACCGGGGCAAAUUAAUUAAACCCACCCAAGCCCUUAUUAACGCAAUGAGGGAUGCUCAACAGGGGAAGAUCAAGUUCAACAGAGAGAACGACGCGCUGACAAAAGCCCUCGGGAAUCCUGAACACGGAGGACGUGUACGAGGCAUGGGGCACAUUCCGUGGAAAAUAGGGUUCCCCCAGAACAAUGACCCGUACGGUUACAGAAGCCGUAAGAGAAAGAUGGAUCGGGAAGCAGAUGUUGUGGCGCGGUUGGCAUCGGAAAUGGAUGUGAUGAAGAAAACCAUGAGUGUACUAGUAGCCGAAAGAGAUGCAGCUCGGGUGCAGCAUGAAGAUCAUCCAGCGGAUCUCGGAAGCCAGCAGCGGAGAAGCAGCGUGGCUUCCACGGAGGCCCCACCGGCUGGUGCAGAUGCACCGACGAUCGAAAUUACUGCACCGGAGCCUCUGGUGGUCGAAAUUACUGCACCGGAGCCUCUGGUGGUCGAAAUUACUUCACCGGAGCCUCCUCGCUACCCCGUGGACGAUAUAAAGGAGAUGAAAGAAUGUCAUCUGUAUUAUCCUAUCGGGAACAUGUCCAUGAAGGUAGCCAUCGGCAGUGCUUUACCAUGUUUACCUGGAGCACUCCACCACAACAACCCCAUUCAAGAUGGCUAUGCUUGUGUCACGGUGGAGGACAUAGUCCAAGGGUUUGAGGACCUGGAGAUUGACAUUGCUACACCUGAAGGGGAGAAAAGACUUGGAGAUGUCAAGCGCCAUUUCAUUCUAUGGCAAAAGAAGUUUAUCAAGUUUCCAGGCGAGGCGCCAAGGACAACAAGUCCACCCCCCUACGGUGGUGGUGGUGGCGGUGGCGGUGGUGGUGGUGGUGGUGGUGGUGGCGGUUCACCUACACCUCCGUCACGUCAGCCGACGCCGCCCCCCAGUCCACAACGUCCGGCGGGUGAUCAGCCGCCGCCCCCCAGUCCUCGUUCGGUGGGUGAUCAGACGCCGCCCCCCAAUCCACCUCCGGCAAAGAAGCAGAAGCAGUCCUGGAUUAUUAACCCGGACCCUUAUGUACCUAAGACCACAAAGGUACCGGAGCCAUCACUUAAGCCUCUCCCCACAAGGCCUUGGGAACGUAGUGCCGAGGAAGUCGACGCGGCCGCGGCUGCUGAUUUGGAGAAAUGGAAGGCGGACUGCAAGAAGAAAAGAGAGCCCGAGCCCAAGCCAGUAUUUUCUGAUGAGCAAAAGAAGUGGGCUAAGUCAUUUUUGAGCACACCGUCCCAAGCCGCGAAGAAUCUGCCUAACGACUAUGCACGUGAACUUCGCAGGCAGGCACUCAUGUUCAAGGAGAACAAAGAGCGGGAGAAGGCCGAAAGUAAAAAAAGCGGGAAACAAGUUGCCCAGCUCGGGGAACAAAGUAAACAAUCGAUUGCCCCGCUUAUAGUGGAAGCCUUCUGUCCGGAUGCCCCCGAGAUCAUACAAGCUGCGGCAGCACAGGGAUUGACUGUAACGAGUGCCAGAGAACAAGCGGCCAACUUAGGUAUUACUCUUCGUGAACUGUUAGGCCUUGAUGAGGCGCCAGUGAAGGAGGUAGUAAUUACAUAUGUCAAGAAUGGGCCUCUCGUCGAGCCUGCGCAGGAAAAGGAUCUACCUCCACAAAUGAAAGGUCUGCUGAAAUGGUACAAGGGUUACAUAAAAAUAAAAACGCCAAAGAAUAUAUUUAUGCGGAAGUUAGACAUGAGCAUCACUUCAAACAUUACUAUGUACAAAUUGAACUGAGUGAAUUGUUCCAGCUUUUCAAUCUGCGCGAGCUCGAUAAAUCUAUCAUCAGUUGCUACGUUCUGUAAGUGAUUUAUUAAUUUCUACCCCAUCUCGUUCAUAUUGCCUGCACUAUAUAUAUGUCCUAACUAUAUUGUUGUGUCCGCUAUUAUACAUGCAGAAUGAAGAUUAAGGAAUGCAGAGUAAGGAACAUCCAUGAUGUUGGGUUCAUUGACCCACACAUCGUUAAUGGACAUGUGUUGGAGCGUCACCCCGCCGACGUAGAGGCAGACCUGUGGCAGUUUCUUACAAAGCAGGAACUCAAAAGUGAUAUUUUAUUUCCUUACCAUUUUGAGUGAGUGUUUCUGUCUUGAGCACAUUCUCUUUUGUUUACUCCAUGCAUGGUAUGUGGCCGGCUAAUCGAUGAGUUAUGCAUGACGUACUGUGCAUGUAUCGUGUCCGCAGGUUCCACUGGAUUCUGCUAGUAAUUAAAGUUAACACCUGAGAAUGUCUCGUCCACGACUCUGUGAAUAUGGAUCCAAAGCUUUGGGGCGGCAUGAGAAGAAUGCUGCAGAAGUAAUUAUUUUCAUUCAUUUGCGCUCUAUAUCGAUCGGCCUAUUUCGUUCAUUUCCUAAUAUCAAGUAACUAAUAACUCUCUUGUUCAUUUAAUUUUCUUUGCCUCGUAGGGUUUGGAGACGGUUCGUAGAUACAAAGGUCGGUGAAUUCAAAAAAGAGCUAGAAUUCAAAAUGUUAAAGGCUAAGAAUGCUGGGGAUAUUCAGCCACCGGAGACCAAUCUAUGUGGAUACUAUGUCUGUGAGAUGAUCCGGAGAUACACCUCUGAGCGGGUUCCGAGUGAUACCAAUGCUCAAAGGAAUAACCUCCGGUGGAUGCUUAGUCCAGAAGCUCGCUUCCGACCACUUCAAGAGGAACUAGCUGGAUGGUUCAGCAGGGAAGUCCUCCAUCCUAAAGGAGAACACUAUUACGAGGACGUAGAACUUUAUAUGCAUUAAAUCAUGUAUGGAAACUUGUUCAAAAUUGUAUAUGGUCAUCCGAUGAUAUUGAAUAUAUAUUGUAUAUUCCUCUUGAAUUCUUUUUGGUUCUAAUUUCAAAUUUAUUUGAAAUUGUACAUUCAUAUGCAUGUAUGUAGUACCGUAGAAUAUAUGAAACUCCUUCAAAAUUAAAAUAAAGCACAAAAGAAAUAAAACAAUACAAAUUAAACAGAAAACAGGUUUAGGGGGGGGGGGCUAAAACCCUAAACCUGUGGCGGCCUUUAGUCGCGGUUGGCCAGAAGAACCGCGACUAAAGGUCCUCCGCCCCGACGGCCGCCUGGCGCCCACGUGGACGGGCCGUUAGUCGCGGUUCUUAAGCAGCCGCGACUAAAGGUGGGGGGCUUUAGUCGCGCUUAUUUGGUCGCGGUUGCGCAACCGCGACUAAUGGCAGUUGCGAACCGCGACCAAAGGCCUUUUUUCCACCAGUGACCUUCAACAUGACUCCAUGGUGGUUGUACGUGCUACCUCCACGCCCUGUCGACCUCAAGCUCUCAUGUGUAUACAACCUUGAAUCAAUCCUGCGUCAUAGUCUUGUCAAAGCCGCACAAGCCCUUUUCACGGGAUCAAGGAUAGAAUGGUUGGGAUGGGUGUCGAUUGCUUGCCUCACUGCUGCGUUCACCUUUUCAACAUCGGAAGCAUAGGCAAGAUUGCAGUCGAUGUAAGCGACCACUCUCUUAAGCGAAGGGAGGUUCCCUAGGCUACCAAUAAAGUCAAAACCAGUGCUGGCAUCCUGCCAGGCACACACUCCAAUACAAAUGUCUUCAAGGCUCUCCAUAGAUCCUUGCAGAAACCAGAAUGGCGCAGACAUCUUCCAACUGCAACUCCUCAACUUGGGGAACGCACCAUUAGGGAAUUCCAUGCCCUCCAGAACGCAAUUCCCUCCAAGGACAGUAAGCUCUGGCAAACUCCCAAGGUUUACCACGUCCUGCUUGCCCAAAUAAUCCACGUCUAUGGUUAGGAUGGAGAGGUUCGGAAGAAACAUGGAAUUAAUCCACGCCGGCAACCUGCUGAAACUGCCCAUUAUGGCCAAAUCACGGAGUUGCCGAGAGGGUUUAUAGCCUUUCCAGUAGUCAUAGGGAACCAGUGCAAACGCCAUAAUUUGCUCCUCGGUGAAGCGAAAGUUUGGUCGUAGGAUUUGUAAUUUUUGCAGAUUGCAUAGAUUCUAUAAAUGUUUUCUUCCAGCACUCGUCCACACCUGUGCAAGAGCUCUGUCAGCCCGCUGAGCUCUUUCACGAUGAUAGAAGACUUGUCAACAGUACUCAAAUGUAGCUCCUCCAAGGAUGCCAGGCUCCCUUUCCCAUUCGGCACUGUUAUAAGAACACCUUUCAUGUCAGCACGCAGACACUUGAGUUUCCUUAGCAAGCCAAUUAAUAAAGAUAGUAAAACUGAGCCUAAACCAAGCUUUGUCACGCCAUUAGGCUUUGUGGCCGUCCGUUUUGCUGAUUUAAUCAUUCCUGACUGUCAGAUCUACUUAUGUAGCGUCUCGGCCGAACUUUUGUAGCAUCAUGGCCCAAAUGUCCUUAAGGGCUGCUACUCUGGAAGAAAAAACCAAUGCCUAUGGUUAAUUGGGCCGCUUGAGGCAGCCCAUUUAACCACUCCAAUCUGUCUCUGGCUCGCUUCAGCUGUCCCUUCUAUGUAAAAAAAGAAGGAGCAAUUUGAGGAAAUGCCACACUUUUUUUGGGACUUUGCUUCUAUAGCACACCUUUCUUUUUUACUGGACUAAAUAGCACACUUUUCAUUGUUAGCUGGACAGAACACCACAUAUUGAGCUUUUCCUAAUUUCUCAUGCCCAAGCCCAGACGUCAUACUUUGCCGUUCAAUAUGUGGUGUUUUAUCCAGCUACCAAUGAAAAGUGUGCUAUUUAGUCCAAUAAAAAAAAGGCGUGCUAUAGGAGCAAAGUCCCAGGAAAAGUGUGGCAUUUCCUCAAAUUACUCAAAAAGAAAGCGGUCGACGGGAUACGAGGGACUUGAUCAGAGGAUGCGCUCGAGGGGGACAAAGCAGGCGAGAGAUCGAGCGCUAGCAAAGCCAGCCAAGGCGAGCGAGGAGGCGCACGACUGGAUCCAGCCCCACGCGGUUUAGCCGAUACGCGCGACGGGAGCCGAUCCAGCCGAUGAGGGGAACUAGCGGACUCGCAGGAUGAGGAUGAAAAAGGGUCGACCGAUCCAGCCNNNNNNNNNNNNNNNNNNNNNNNNNNNNNNNNNNNNNNNNNNNNNNNNNNNNNNNNNNNNNNNNNNNNNNNNNNNNNNNNNNNNNNNNNNNNNNNNNNNNNNNNNNNNNNNNNNNNNNNNNNNNNNNNNNNNNNNNNNNNNNNNNNNNNNNNNNNNNNNNNNNNNNNNNNNNNNNNNNNNNNNNNNNNNNNNNNNNNNNNNNNNNNNNNNNNNNNNNNNNNNNNNNNNNNNNNNNNNNNNNNNNNNNNNNNNNNNNNNNNNNNNNNNNNNNNNNNNNNNNNNNNNNNNNNNNNNNNNNNNNNNNNNNNNNNNNNNNNNNNNNNNNNNNNNNNNNNNNNNNNNNNNNNNNNNNNNNNNNNNNNNNNNNNNNNNNNNNNNNNNNNNNNNNNNNNNNNNNNNNNNNNNNNNNNNNNNNNNNNNNNNNNNNNNNNNNNNNNNNNNNNNNNNNNNNNNNNNNNNNNNNNNNNNNNNNNNNNNNNGGGGGAGGGGGGGUGGUGGGGGGGCGUGGGUAAUGAUGGUUGAUCCGCCUGCGAAGUGGAAGGAGUGGUAAGUCUAUAUAUUGUUCCUCCCACAUUCUUCGCUCAUCCUCCCUAGCUUCUGGUGCCGAUUGGGCAUCAUGCUUUGGUAAGGUUCCUUCUAUUUAUUUUCAUUUCAUGUAUGAUUCAUUUUGUGCGAAGCAAUUACAUAUCCUCUCAUACCAAAAUUUGUGUGUACAGGUGAUGUUCAUACUAGCUGUGCUCGUUUGAUUUCAUUUUGGAGCUUGGCACUGGGAUUGUUUUUACUAGUAGAAAAAAGGGCUUUGAUUCGGGCCUGGCCAUCCCAUUAGUCCCGGUUAAUUCAUGAACCGGGACCCAUGGGGGGCAUUCGUCCCGGUUCGUGAUCCCAGGGGGCCGGUCGGGGCCUCAUGGGCAUUGGUCCCGGUUCGUCUGGACCCAUUUGUCCCGGUUCUAGGCACGAACUGGGACCAAUGGGCCUCGCUCCUAGCCCACAUCCAUUGGUCCCGGUUCGAGCCACGAACCGGGACAGAAGGAUGGACUUUAGUCCCGGUUCCAGCCACGAACCGAUACAAAUGAGUUGCCUAUAUAUACCCCAUAACCGGCGAGCAGAGCACUCCACAGUGCUCUGUUUUUUGCUGGCCGGCGAGGGGAGGGCAUUUGGGUGCUCUAGCUCACCUCCUAUGCACAUGAGGUGUUCGAUGAAAUGCCCGAGCCACACUAGUUAAGCUUUCUCCUCUCGAAGCUCGACCUCCGAGCUCCAUUUUUCCCGAGAUUUGUCUAGGUUUAGCGGUCCGUCACGCCCCGUCCCCGUCUUCACCGCCGUCGAUUGCCCGCACCGAUCUCGUUGCUGGCACCACCGUGGUGAGCCUCUUGUUCUUAUCUUCUUUCUGAAAGAAACAAAAUUCUUACUUUAGAUAUAUACUUGUCUAAUUUUCUUACUUUUGACACACAUAAUUAUAUAUAAUGCACACAGAUAAACCGACAAUGGAUGUACGGUGACAGACACACCUCCGAGUACAUUUUUCCCGCGAUUUGUCUAGGUUUAGCGGUCCAUCACGCCCUGUCCCCGUCUUCACCGCCGUCGAUUGCCCGCACCGAUCUCGUCGCUGGCACCACCGUGGUGAGCCUCUUGUUCUUAUCUUCUUUCUGAAAUAAACAAAAUUCUUACUUUAGAUAUAUACUUGUCUAAUUUUCUUACUUUUGACACACAUAAUUAUAUAUAAUGCACGCAGAUGAACCGACAAUGGAUGUACGGUGACAGACACACCUCCGAGUACAUUAAGGGCGUGCAUAAUUUUUUCGAAGUGGCUGAGGCAAACAAGCAGAAUGGUUUUAUGUGUUGUCCAUGCCCUAACUGUGGGAAUACGAGGUCUUACUCUGACCAGAAAAUCCUUCACACCCACCUGCUUUAUAAGGGUUUCAUGCCACAUUAUAAUGUUUGGACGAAGCACGAAGAAAUAGGGGUUAUGAUGGAAGACAACAAAGAAGAAGAGGACGAUGACAACUAUGUGCCCCCUGAAUACGGUGAUGCUGCAACGGGGGAAGCUGCUGAAGAUAAAGAGGAACCAGACGAUGUGCCCGAUGAUGAUGAUCUCCGCCGGGUCAUUGUCGAUGCAAGGACACAAUACGAAAGUCAAAAGGAGAAGCUGAAGUUCGAUCGUAUGUUCGAGGAUCACAAAAAAGGGUUGUACACCAAUUGCGAAGAUGGCAACACAAAGCUCGGUACCGUACUGGAAUUGCUGCAGUGGAAGACAGAGAAUGCUGUGCCUGACAAAUGAUUUGAGAAGCUACUGAAAAUAUUGAAGAAGAAGCUUCCAAAGGAUAACGAAUUGCCCGACAGUACGUACGCAACAAAGAAGGUCGUAUGCUCUCUAGGAUUGGAGGUGCAAAAGAUACAUGCAUGCCCUAAUGACUGCAUCCUCUACCGCGAUGCAUACGAGGAUUUGAACGCAUGCCCGGUAUGCGGUGCAUUGCGGUAUAAGAUCAGACGAGGUGACCCUGGUGAUGUUGACGGCGAGCCCCGCAGGAAGAGGGUUCCUGCAAAGGUGAUGUGGUAUGCUCCUAUAAUACCAUAGUUGAAAUGACUGUUUAGAAACAAAGAGCAUGCCAAGUUGAUGCGAUGGCACAGUGAGGACCGUAAGGAAGACGGGAAGUUUAGAGCACCCGCUGAUGGGUCGCAGUGGAGAAAAAUCGAGAGAAAGUACCGGACUGAGUUUGUAGGUGACCCAAGGAACGUAUGGUUUGCUUUAAGCGCGGAUGGCAUUAAUCCUUUCGGGAAGCAGAGCAGCAAUCAUAGCACCUGGCCCAUGACUCUAUGUAUGUAUAACCUUCCUCCUUGGAUGUGCAUGAAGCGGAAGUUCAUUAUGCCAGUUCCCAUCCAAGGCCCUAAGCAACCCGACAACGACAUUGAUGUGUACCUAAGGCCAUUAGUUGAAGAACUUUUACAGCUGUGGAAUGAAAACGGUGUACGUGCGUGGGAUGAGCACAAACAAGAGGAAUUUAACCUGCACGCGUUGCUGUUUAUAACCAUCAAUGAUUGGCCCGCUCUCAGUAACCUUUCAGGACAGACAAACAAGGGAUACCAUGCAUGCACGCACUGUUUAGCUGACACCGAAAGUAUAUACCUGGAAAAAUGCAGGAAGAUUGUGUACCUGGGCCAUCGUCGAUUUCUUCCGACCAACCAUCAAUGUCGAAAGAAAGGCAAGCAUUUCAAAGGCGAGGUAGAUCACCGGAAGAAGCCCGCCAUGCGUACCGGUGAUGACGUACUUGCUAUGGUCAAUGAUUUACACGUAAUCUUUGGAAAGGGUCCCGGCGGACUAGCUGUUCCAAAUGACGCCGAGGGACACGCACCCGUGUGGAAGAAGAAAUCUAUAUUUUGGGACCUACCCUACUGGAAAGACCUAGAGGUCUGCUCUUCAAUUGACAUGAUGCACGUGACGAAGAACCUUUGCGUGAACCUGCUAGGCUUCUUGGGCAUGUAUGGGAAGACAAAAGAUACACCUGAGGCACGGGAGGACCUGCAACAUUUGCACGAAAAAGACGGCAUGCCUCUAAAGCAGUAUGAAGGUCCUGCUAGCUACGCUCUUACCAAAGAAGAGAAGGAAAUCUUCUUUGAAUGCUUGCUCAGUAUGAAGGUCCCGACUGACUUCUCGAAGAAUAUAAAGGGAAUAAUAAAUAUGCCAGAGAAAAAGUUCUAGAACCUAAAGUCUCAUGACUGCCACGUGAUUAUCACGCAACUGCUUCCGGUUGCAUUGAGGGGGCUUCUACCAGAAAAUGUCUGAUUAGCCAUUGUGAAGCUAUGUGCAUUCCUCAAUGCAAUCUCUCAGAAGGUGAUCGAUCCAGAAAUCAUACCAAGGCUAAGGAGUGAUGUGGCGCAAUGUCUUGUCAGUUUCGAGCUAGUGUUCCCACCAUCCUUCUUCAAUAUCACGACGCACGUCCUAAUUCAUCUAGUCGACGAGAUUGUCAUUCUGGCCCCGUAUUUCUACACAAUAUGUUCCCCUUUGAGAGGUUCAUGGGAGUCCUAAAGAAAUAUAUCUGUAACUGCGCUAGGCCAGAAGGAAGCAUCUCCAUGGGCCAUCAAAUAGAGGAUGUCAUUGGGUUUUGUGUUGACUUCAUUCCUGGCCUUAAGAAGAUAGGUCUCCCUAAAUUGCGGUAUGACGGGAGACUGAGUGGAAAAGGCACGCUUGGAGGGGACUCGAUAAUAUGCAGGGACGGGCAUUCUUGGUCUCAAGUACACUACACAGUUGUACAGAACUCUACCUUGGUGACCCCAUAGGUCGAUGAACACAAGAACAGUCUGCGCUCCGAACACCCGGAGCAGUGUGACG